GACGGGCCACUGUAAAACUUUUCGCAUAAAUGACUGAUGGGAAACAUAGCAAGACAGGGAACAGUGCAUCUGAAAGCAGCAAUGUGCACAAUGCAAGCCAGAGUAUUUAUGAGGAGAGGAUGGAUUGCAGAGCAAGCUGUUGCUGGGGUUGCAAGGACGACCACGUUGAAGCCAAUGUAGCUGGUGGCAAAGUCUGCUGAAGCUGCCUUAGCAAUUUAAUCAUUCGGUUUGCAGUCUGUUCAGUUGCCAGAUCCUUACCAGCACAUAGAACCUACACGAAUAAUCAUAACCCUUAAAGUAAAUAUUCUGGAAAGCUUGAAAACAUAUUACAAAAAACAUGCAUUUAGUGGAGUCAUCUGAUUGCCUGUAUUGUUUAAGAUAUCAAUUAGAAGAGAAAAAGAAAGCCUAGAUUUAGGUUACAGUUAUACUAGUUCGUUAAUUAGUCCCUAAAUCUUGCCACAACGAAAAAAUGGCUCAAUUGACCAGGGUGUGCACAUAUCUGUACCAUACAAUAAAUGAUGUGCCUAUAAUUGUUCACCUCAAUAAUAAUCAGUACAUAAGAUACAUAUGUUCAAACUGAUGAAAUAGAAUAUUGAGAAAUGUAUUAAUGAAAAAACGUCGAUUUUGAUCAUGAUAUAUGACACAGAAAUAUAGCUUAAGAGUGCUAAUUUAGUUUCUAGAUUACAAACCUCUGCAAACACUGCAACAAUUUUGGGAAGAUACUGAUUGUUGGGACCCAAAAGUUCCCGAUCAGACCUGUAGAUGGAUUACAAGGGUCACCUCUAUGAAUUUGUUUGUAAUGAUAUUCCGAAAGUUUAAUAUAUAAAAAGGCAACAAGUAACAGAACAAGGCACAAGUAAAAGAAAAUUGAAGCUCUACCUCUCUACCAUAGAACAAAGUUGGUCAUGAACAACUUUGGCUUCAACCAAGUCUCCUUUAAUCGGUAAACAGUUCAACCAUGCAGGAAUGACCUGCAAAAUGCCAGAAGGUUGACAAUCCAUACCACUCCAAAAUAAUAAUAAUAAUAAUAAUGGAACCAAACAAAGAAAGAUAUUAUUAAUCUUAAAAGUGAUAGUUGGCAAGAUAGGUUAGUAUUAAACUAUAGCGUUGCACUAAAUUGAGGAACGUGCACACAAAAAAGGUAUUAGAGAGCACUGCAUAGCACAGUAGUCGUAUACUCAUAAUCAAGACUCUUUACUUUUGUGCGUAUAUUCCAUAACACCACCAAUGACAGAAUUUCUGAUCAAACCAUAUGACAACAGAGAAAAUAAAAGUUAGUACCUGAGCUGCAUCAAUACUGUCACGGUGGAAUUGGCUAAUUUUUCCUAAAGCAGAAACAGCAUUAUCAUAUGCCAUUACAUUUUCAGAUUGUUGGGCAUUAGGAUGCUGAAUCACAGCGUUCAGCCUUGAUAGAGCCUCUAUAUAAAGCCACAAGCAAAUAUUACUCACAAACAUACAUAAUUGUUUCAUCUAUUUAAGAUAUGCAAGCAGAAUUACCGCCAACAAGAGGUUUAAUUAUUGCUCCACCAAACUCUGAACAAAUACCAAGUCCAUAUACAGCUGCCUAAAAAAAUAAAAAUAAAACAAAAACAACCACUUAACACUAAUGUGGAUGAGCAACCUGAUACAUAUUGAAACAGUUUGUUGAGAUCAGACCUGUCGAACAUCAGGGUUUUCGUCAUUGCAAGCCUCCAACAGAAAAGGAAGAAAUGUGUCAUAAUAUCUGAUCCAACCAAAUCAUAACCAAAUAUGAGUACAGAAUAACAAGAACUACUUAAAAGUAAAACCUGAACGUUUCUAUUAAAAAAACUUACUUUACAGCUGCUUCACGACACUGCUCUGCUACUUCAUCAAAGAUGCAUAUUGCAAUCCUUCUCUCUUCAGGUGUUUUAUCCUUGGCCUGUGUUUAGAACCCGAAAUGAAUAACAUAGUUGAGAUGACAAACAACUUAGCUCAAACAUAAUGGCUGACAAAAAAAAUUAACAUUCUACUUCCUCGAAGUGAAGCUGUCUAAGGAGCGUUCGAGUAAACAUAAACAACUAAAAUCCUAAAGUUGGAACAGAACAAAAAGGCUGCACCAGUGAGACGAAACUUACCCACAUAGGUGUUAAAUACGAUGAUAGCUCAUCAAAGAAAGGCAAGAAAGAGGCUUUAAACGUUUUAAUCAAAGUUCCAAUGAUUUCUCCCACCUGAAACAAUUAAAAAAUGUGUUGAAGAGAACCAGGACAAAAAGUCCCACACUGCAUAUGCUGGCCCAAAAAUUAAAAAAUCAGUAAUAUUGUUGAAGAGCUACCUAGAGAUUGUGUUAAAAAAACUCACUUGAUCAAAAACUUCUUCCUCUUGUUCAUUUUCCUCUUUAAUUAGCUCCUGUUCCUCAGCAUCAAAGUCUUCUGCUUUGGUCCUUUCUGCUCUCUCUCUUUUUCUACUAGAACUGGCAGUGAUCACCUGCUUUAUCUCCUCCACGAUGGAUCUCACCUGGCCUUCAUCUAAAAGUGGUCCAGAUGUCUGAAAGCAAAGAUACAAGGCGCAUGAAUGGGGCCAUACUCAAAAAAUGAUGCACAAUAUAAAAAUGAAAACACGAAAACAAAUUUGUCUUUUGAACAAAGCUAAUUCUGAUUAACUCAACAAAACAUUUCUCCCAAAACAGUUCGCUCAUUCACUGCUUCCGUGCAAACAAAAAUGAAGGAUUGGCUACUACAAAACAAAUUAAUUAGCACUAUACUGCAGUGACUGCCAGCAUUUCCAAGUUCAAACCCAAAAUCUAAAAGGCAGAGAUUUAAUUAUAAAAGUUUUUUCAAAUCAAACCAAUGAUUUUCACUAUACUGCAGUGACUGCCAGCAUUUCCAAGUUCAAGCCCAAAAUCUAAAAGGCAGAGAUUUAAUUAUAAAAGUUCUUUCAAAUCAAACCAAUGAUUUUCUUCUGCAAUGAAAAGAAAAAAAAACAGAAGUGGCAUAGCAUGGAACAUGAUUAGCAUCCAGUACUCCAUUAAAAAUUUAACAUUUCUAAUCAUGAGUGUAUUGACAACUUCCCUACAACGAAAAAUAUAGCAAUUCCAGCACUACUGAAUUGGUCAGUUGGUGCGGAAUAAGUGCAAAAAGUAAAACAAACAGGGGCACAACGGAAAUUCACAAAAUUUCUUAAAAGAAUAAACGACGAACCUGUAAGCAUUCAUUUAAUGCAUCCAAUAUAUUCGCACAGAUUUCAGUAUCAGGUUCCUGCACACAAAUUGCAAUCUCAUACUUCAGAGAACAUAUAAAUCAUUACACCAUGAUCAAGGAGGCUUAAAUGAAAAACACUGAACAACCUUAUGUAAUGCUUCCACCAGAGCUGGAACAAUGUAGUCAGACAAUUGCUUUAUAUAUGUUUCAUUACGACCUUGAGCUUGGCCUUUCUCUAUUGCCAACUUUGCAGAACGCAGUAGCUCCGGCAUUGCUAGAAACAAAAAGUAGAUAUCUCUUUAUUAAGAAACGGAGCAAACUCCAACAAAAUUUGUAGAGGAAAGAAAAUAAAAACAUUGAGUAUUAACAAUUAAUGGUACCUGAAACAGCUGCCUUCCUAACUUCUUCAUGGAAAUAAAAUUUAAGAAGUGGAACCAAAGUUGGGGCAACCUACACAAAUAUGACCUUUGUAAGUAUGCAACCAAAGUCAGACAAAAAAAAAUCAAGACACUAUUGGAUACCUGAUCAAUCCAGGGAAAGAAUCCUUCUUUCAGCUCAUCAGCAUAGCAACACAGCAUAUUGCAAGCUGUAGCUUUCUCCUCCAAGACACUAGUCUUGAUUCCAAUCCUUUUAUCCCCAAGAGUAAUUGUUUCCAUACUGUAACACAAAAGCAGCUUUUAGCAAGAGAAGAAGUAACACAGAGCUACAUAACAGCACUAUUUCCAGAUCUUGAUAUCUUUUACACACACCAAAACUACACCUCAAACACUCUAAAUCAGUACAUAGGUAACUUAACCAGAUAAUUAUCAAGAAUAGAAGCAUAUAAAAAAGUUGAUGUGGACGUUAAAGCCACUGGUUAUCCAUGCAGUGAAAGUUUCUACACUAGAUUCAGGUACUUACAUAUCAAACUUUAGGAAGGAUACCAAGAAAUAGGUAGUGAUGCAACAUUUGAGAUAUCUUACAUGCCCGUUGGUAUUGAACUUACGUAAAAAGGGAAAUGAGAAAAGUUUCGGACCUAUCAUCAUCAGAGUCAUCAAUAUCAUUUUCGUCAUCUGCAGAUGUGAUGGUUACAUCUGGCUUAAGUUGAGCAGAUUGAAGCAAAGGAGGCAUUACAACACUCAUGUAUGGGAGGAAAUCUUGUCCUAAGCACUUGCAGAGUCUAGCCCAGGCCUACAACAUUGUAGAUAAGUUUUUAUUGUAAACAAUAAGCAUUAGUAUAGUAAUUUUAGUGCACUUAUUAGACAAAGGCAUACUUGUAACAUGUAACUUGUAGUUGGAUCAUCUGUCUCCAUGUGAGAUCCUUGCAAAGCCAUCAGCACUUCCAUGACCUUCAGAGAAACAGUAUACACCAGUCUGUGAUUAGAGAAAUUGGCAGCAGCUUUUUUCUAUUAGGUUUUUAGAUUGGCCAAAAUGGCAGCAGCAUGUUCACAGGUUGAAAGACUCAGUUUUUAAUCUCCCAACUGAUAAGCAGAAAAGAGCUGAAGCGUAUAACUUGAGCAAAGGAGAGUGCAUAAGAGGAAAAGAAAAGGUCAAUUUCCGAAUUUUGACAAAAUCAAAAUUCUAUUGGGGGUAAUUAAGGUAGGAAAUGGUUCAAAAUAACAAAAUAUAGAUCUGCAUGAACAAGCACCUUAAAAAAUAACAUGAAACCAUCAUCCAUCAAAUAGCCAUUCAUAUCCCAGGUCCAAUAAAGUAAACGUAGUUUCAAAUGUAUAAUGCCUUACCUGCUUAGCAUCUUCCCUGAAUUUCUCUUUUCCAACUGCCAUUCCAACCAAACUAAUACACUCCAUCGAUUUGGCACGAAGCAUGCGAUUAGACUUAUCAGUGGCAUUCACCAAGAUAGCUUUCAGGUAAGGCAUAACUGCAUCAUAGUAUUUUUGAAAAUGCUCCUACACAUCCCAUUACCAUCAAACUUAAUCAUCCAUAAAAAUAAAAUAAUAAUUUCAUGUAUAAUAUCACAUAAUAUAGUACAAUACCUGAGAUGAAUCAGCAACGGAUGCCAAAGCAGUCAAGGCACCCUCUUGUACCAUUUGUUUUCCAUUCUGCAUGAAAUGUGAAAUAUCAGACACAAUUAAUAUAUACUAGUUCAAAAGCAUGUAAUUAAGUAAAGUUUUACAUCAUGAAAUGGGUGUUUGUACAUAUAUAUAUACAUAAUCUUGAGAAGCAUUACCUGCAGAAGUACAAGCAAUUUGCUCACUACUCCAUCCAAAUAUGGAGUUAAAAUAUCCGGUGUGCAAUUCUCACUGAAAUUCAGCACUGCUGAAGCAGCAUGUGCCUGCAGAUAGCAAAUUACAAAAAAGGAAGCAAUGAAUAGAUAAUCUUGCACAUUUAAUUACAUUAUCUUGAUAAUGAGCUGAGUAAAGCACAUUCGCAAAUGAUCACUAUCCUCCAAAUUCAGAAAAUAAAGAACCUCAUAUGGAGGAUACCUUGCAACUAUAGAUGCCAAUGGUAGCUCACAAGUCAGAACAAAAGGCCAACGAUUAGUUUUCAACUGUACUUUUCAAAAAGUCCAUACUUCAAAAAUAAAUGUGACAACAUUCAACCACAAACAUGCAGUCAAGCACAUAUGACUUUUGCGUGGACUCAUUCAAACAUCCCAUUAAUCAGAAACAGAAAGUGAACUAAAUAAGUAACGGCUCUCCUGAAGUCAAGGACAUAAGAUGACCAGCAACUUAGAACAUUAUACACACUAGAAUGCUCUACAGUACACAACUUGUAAAGAAUCCCUUAAGAUGAGAAAGUGCCAGUCAAUAUUAGUCUUGUGGUCACCCUCUAGAGCAUGAUGAAGGUGACCUGCAUUGCAGGAUACAAAUCCAUACCAUUCAAAUAAUGAAACUGAAUAUCAAGUCAAUUAUUUAGAAACAGGAUCGGAUGCUACGACCAGGUACUAACCUGAACACGAGGGUUCUGAAAAUCAUCCAUAGCUCCAGCCAAUGCCGGGAGCACCCGUUGGUGAUAUUGAACUUGCAGAUCUGGGCCCAAAUCAGUAGACAACUGCCCAAUUGCAUUUAUCGCUGCCCACCUUACACGAGGAUGUGGAUCUUGAAAUGAGUUCAAGACCAUUGCUACCACUUGCUCCAAAUUUUUAAUCAUUACCUGCAAAUAAAAUAAAAAUGAAGGGAACAGAUUAAUGGUCGUCAUGAACAAGAAGGUAAAUGGAAAUUCAUUUACUAGAAAGCUGCAUAAAAGUACUUUAUAGCUGUACUAUUCACUUAAUAAAGGAUAUAAAAGUUCCCCCUCGGAAACUGCAUAGUAGGAAUAUACAAUCGCUUAUGUAAGAUGCAAACAUCUUACAUAAGUGUAUUGUAUCUGGCCUGAAAGCUUUUCAUUCAUAUUGUGCAAGUGUGAAUGUGACUAUCAAACCGUACAAACAUUGAAUAAUUUCAAACGAAUGUUUCUCAUUACAUCUCUAACCCGUUAUCCAUUCAAAUUCACACAAUAGCACAUUCAACACAAGUAAAAAACCUAGGCUCUUUUAUUACCCAAACUCAACUCUAUUACUUCAACAGAAAAGGCAUGUUAAGCAUUCCAAAUGUGGUUAAAGACGGAACCAUGAAAAAUUGGACAAGCAACUCUCCCAAGCAUAAUGUCUCUAACUUAUGACAAUCAGUUAACCUGGAUAUACAAUCUCACAAAUAAUUGCACACCUAUUAAAAUAAAAAUUGAUACCUUGGCACAACCCUCAGCAAUCUGAGCCAGGGCAAUCAAUGCAGCAUGGUGCUUCUGCCACUCAGGGGCAGCCAAAUAUGCAGGCAAUUGCUCAGACGCCACGGGAACAAUGGUAUUCCCACCCAAGGAUAUGGCAAGCCUAUCCAAACACUCCUGCCCAACACUGUAAUUACCAGUCUCACCCGCAUCCUCAUCUUCACUCUCUGCCGCAUGCCAUGCCGGUUCGUCCUCAAUAUCCAGAAGCAUUUUCAUUAAAAUGGAAAACAAUCGGCUUAUAAACUGCGGCAACUUCCUCAUCAUGCCAGGAGCACGCUCUCGGGCCUCGGCCAGAGUGAUGACGAACUCAAUGGCCAAGUGCCUUGUCGCUUCUUCCAAUGAAUCGGCCUCAGCAAUCUGUAACAUUGCCCCAACGACUUCCACAAUCUGCCGCCUCAGGAACCUCGGCUCGGUCCCAGCCAAUUCAAUCAACAAUUCAAGAGCGUCCUGCGCGGUGGCCUCGUUCCCGUUGUUCAGAGCCUCCAUCAACGUCUUCAUCAUCGCUGGCAACAGGUCCUGAAACCUAUCCCUAUCCGCAGAGCUGGUCAAACACUGAAUGAAAUUGAUGACAGCGUUCAAAGCCGCGAUCUUCACGUCAGGGCUCGGCGAAUUCCCCAGGCUAUGCAAGAACACGGCGUGCAAUUCCUUUAUGUGCGGCACCAUGGUGUCGCCGAUGUACUGCGAUAACUGAGCGAAUAUCAAGAACGCCGCUUCUUGAAGCUUGGGCGAAUCGGACGAAACGCACUGGAACAUAAAGGGCAAGAGCUCCGGCCACCCGUUAUCCGGCAAAAUCCCGGAGGCCAGCUCGGAAAUCGUAUCGCAUAGCUUCUUGGAGAUGGAUUUCGUGUCCUCCUGCUGAAUACACGUGAGCAGAAUCGUCUUCAGCGUCGAUUGGGUCGUGGGAUUCAAUCGGGGCCAGAGGUAAGAGUCGUCGCGGGUGAGCUGCUUGCGGAGGAGAAUCGCGGACAUGGCGCGGGCCUCGGCGGCGGGGCAGAACUGGAGGAGGUGGGCGAGCUUGAGGGAGAGGGAGUCGGGAUCGGUCUGCUUGCAGAGGUUGAAGAGGAGCUCGGCCUGGGAGCGCUGCUCGUUGGCGGAAGACAUGAGGUGGGAGAUUAGGGUCUGGAAAGGGGCCGGGUCGGGGCCGAGAAUGGUCGCCAGUUGGGCUUGCUGUAAGUGAGUCGACUCGGCCAUCGGAAUUAGGGUUUUUGCGUGCUCUGCGCCGGGUGUGGAUUGGAGUCACUGGUGAACCCGCGAAGAGAAGAUGCCCUUUCUCUCACUUUCUCUCUCUAGACUUUUGAAUCAAAUUAAAAGUAGGGAUAUUUGGGGAGUUUAGGGGUGCGGGAGGAGGGUGCGGGGGAUUAAAGUAGGAGCGGGAGCAGAGGAGUGGGGCUGCUAAAUAAAGGAAGAAAUGCAAGGAAUUAUCCAAUGGAUGAUUAGCUGGGCGUGGGUCAGUUAUCAAUCAUGAUUCAUGACUAUAAUUUUCCCACCAAAUUUAUUUUUGGAGGGAAGGGAGAAGGGGCUCAUUUUUUGUAUAGUUAAUAGUAUACAAUAAUGAUAAAAUAAAGUUAAUGAAUAAGAUUUGAAAACUUGAAUUUUAACGAUAAUGAUAAAAUAAAGCGUAAAGUUAAUAGUAUCAUGAUUGAAUUUUUAGUGUAAAAAUAUGAAUUUUUUUUUAAAUAAACAGUAACAUAAAUUUUUCGUUAAAAUUUUAUAAAAUCAUAUAUUGGAAUUUUAUUAAUUACCAAAAAAAAUAUAAUUUCUGUGGAAAAUAGUUGGGCCAACUGGUUUAUAAAGCAAAGCCCAACUUUUUCAUAAAGUCUCUUUGAUUGGCCGUCCUCCUAAUACUGAAUUUUUAAUUGUUUUCUCUUUUUUCAACAAAGCAAAACAAUAUUUUGAGUUAAAAAGGAAAGGAUUUCUAAACAUUUAAUUUCUCCUCAAUAAUAAUAGGUCUUAAAACGAAAAUGAAAAACCGAAACGGAUUUGAAAUUUUUAAAUUUCGGGGCGAAAUUGUAGAGAGGGGAAAUGGUUUAGGAUUUAGUAUUUAAUAAACCUUCCUUUCUAGUUUCUUUCUACUCCCAGUUUAAUUGCCUCCACCUCCACCGCCACCAGUCCACCUCCGCAGACCAACCAAUUUCAGUUAAUUUCGUGCUAUUCCGUCAUCGCAAUUGCCUGAUUUCUGACAUUAGAAAUGUGUUCUGGAACGGAGAUGGCAAGGAGCCAGCGGACAUUGAGUCCCUGCUGCGGGAACGAUUCAAGGCUAAUGAACCUACCCGCCGAUGUCCUUGACGACAUCCAUUUGAGACUGCCCAUAACCUCUUUUUUUGGCCUCCGAUGUGUCUCUAAGACCUCAACGGAUAGAGUCGACUGCCCCAGUUUUUGUACACUGCACACGCAACGUUUCAUCAUCUAUUUCUUCUGCUCAGGUACCUCUGCUAAUGCAUGUGGAUCACUUUUGCCUCUCUAAUUCUGGAUUUACCUUUAGACCAUUGCAAUUCAAAUACGAUGGCAGCAACACCACCUUGACAUGGAGCGAACAUGGUCUACGAGAUUAGAUCCACUUCCUUCAAUGCUUUUUAUUCUUUGGCUUCUGUUUUCCACAACUUGUUUUUCUUUCGGGAUCGCGCUUAUAAUUAUCCAGGGCGCAAGAGGAUGGAUAGGAUAGGAGUCCAUGCUUCUUAUUCAAUCCUUUGAAGGGGGAAGUUCUUCUGCUCCCCACAACUGACAUCUUCAUUCCAAACUAUGUUACAAGAUAUUCCAUCAUCACGGUUGAGGAAUGGUUUGCUAUGGGAUUUGAUGAUGCAACCAACACUUACAAGAUUGUUCGUGUUUCCGGAGAUCAAAAAUCGACGAUAUGUAAACUCGUGACCCAAAUUUAUGUAAUGGGCACAAGCUCGUGGCGAGAGAUACCCUCGUUUCCACCCUGUAAUUUAAGCGACAGCCGCGCAUUUGCAUACGGAGACCAGCAUUGGUUAGUUUGCUUACCUGAUCCUUCACUUUCCAGUUAUGGAGGAGUAGUUAGCAUAUGUUCUUUCAAUUUCAGAAAAUAAGAGUUCUACUGGAGGACCAUUCCCCUUCCCGAGCAUAUGCACAAUAAGUAUGUUCGGUGCAUGGGGAUCCCAAAGCACCUUCAUUUGCUUAGUCUAAGAGGCUCGUUGGCCAUCGUGGACACUUCAUCUGAUGACUAUAAUAUUGAGAUAUGGGUGUUGAAAAAUUAUGACAAGAAAGAGUGGAAUCUAGAUUACAAGAUAGACAAGUCAGUACUCAGAGGCAAGAUGAUGAUGAACUUGAUAUGUUGUGAAUGGGAGCAUGGCAUAUACUUUACUCACCCACGAUGUCAUUAAGUUUGUGAGAGAACAUUCUUUGUGGAUUUAAGAUGUGGUUCCGUGAAUCGCGUUGAAUUAUUUCCACCUAGAACCAACAUAUUCGUGAGGAUUUCAAGCAUAUUGAGUUAUACUGGGACUUUGAUUUCCCUAAAAGAGUAUGGGAGCUUGGUUGAAACUGAACCAACAACUACGGGACAGAUUAGGUCUCUAGAACUUUAUGAUUCUAGAGAAAUCUGGGAUGAAGCUGCAAGAGGGAAGGAUUUCAUUUACUUGAAAAGUAGCGCUAAGCGCCUAUAUAGAUUUGAAUAAAUACCCAACUCUCGGCAACUUGUCAAUGGUUUUAGUGGCUUAUUUGGUUUUUGUGUAAUCUUUUUGUAUUUUUGCAUUUUUUUUCUGCAACGCCAGAUUGAAAAUUUUCCAUCUAGUCCUUAUGCCUGGACGUAUUUUCCUUAUAAAUGAUAAAGAUGUUCUUCUCAUUUAUGCUGAAUGUGUUUUUUAAACUGUUGUUAUUAGAGUAUCACUGUAAACCGUUAUUGAUGGUUUAACAGGGGGAGGGUAUCAUGGUUUCAGUUUCUCCCUCGCGAGGGGGCAAAAUUGCUCUGUUGAAGUUACACUUGGCUGUCCUAGACGGCUAGACCUGGAAUGCAGUACAACUCAAAUUCGUCAAGGAAUGCAAUAAAGCUUAACCUUGCUGAAUCUCCUCCCUUAGGGAGAGGUGGUCAGAAUUAUUCAAACCUUUUUUUACUCCAUUUAAGCAUGAAUUUGCAUAUUUUCGCUGCAGAAUUGGGUUGGACCCUUCACACCUGACUCACCCUUUUUUAUGAUUUGGUUAAUAACUUAUUAUCUCCAUUUAAGUAUUUCUUGAGUUGAGAUAUUUUUAUUUCCACGUAGUUUAAUUUGUUAUGAGGUUCCAUACACACUGACAAGUUAACAUAAGCUUGCAUUUCUUUUAGAAGAUUGAAGUGUGUUUCUAUUUUCAUCAGUUUUGCAUACAACAGUUAGAUAAAGCUGCUUAUGUACCAUUCUUAUGUCACUUGAUCAUCACAAGACUUUGGAUGCCUUGCAUUUGCACCAUGUAUAUUAAUUCAACAUUCAACAGUCAACAUUCAGACAGAGUGAGCUGGUUACAAGUCUCAGUAUUAUCUUUAAAUUGUCAACUAACUAUGCAAUUACACAUUCAACCAAUACGACAGUUAUAUAACUGAUGAUGAAAAGACGAUACAAAACACAUGGAUGCCUAAGACCCUCGAGGGCCUUAACUAGACCAAACCUAUCUGAUGAAAGGACGAUACAAACUCAUGAGUCGCUAACAUCCUCAACGGCCUCAACAACUCUUAAUUGACGAAGUCUACCUAAAUCAAUUUCAAAGAGCAUCCAAAUCUUUCAACCAUAAUGAUUUUGCACUCUCAUGUUUCAACUCAUAUAACUUCUCCUUGCUCUUAUCCCGGUCAUCUUUAAUAGCAUCACGCCCCUCUACACUGAGCGUCUCAAAAUCUAUGGAUGUUAAAAACUUAUAACGUUUUGUAGCCUUAGUUGGUGCACCAUCCUUGAAGUGAUCCAGAAAUAAAUCUUUCUUUUGUAGCUCAUCAUUCAACUCACCCUUCCUUUUCGGUACAUAGAUAAUAUUGCCUUCAACAUCUUUAUUUGACUUUACUAUGCUUAUCUUGUUUGCAUGCAUGUAUGCUACAAAUUUAAGCUUAAGCUCCAGUAUAUUUACCUCUUCUUCCACUUUAUUUAGUAAUGCUUCCUGCGUAAAGUACAGAGAACUAGUUAAUGGUUGCAUCUUCGUAGAAAAUAUAAUAAAAACAAACAUCAACAAUAUUGCAUUAAGGUAAAAAAUAAAGUCUCCAAUCUCUCCUUUUAGUGUUGUAGUCUUAUGUCAUAGAACUCCUUUAGAACCCCAAUCAGAAAAAACAAACAGGUAAGAUAAGUUGUACAACAAAUUUGUUUGAUCAAACCAACCAAAUUGUGUUAACUUGUACUCUCUUUUGGUAUACUAUAGCAAUGAAGCUGGUCUUCUGUCUUAAUCAAGAUCAUGUUUGAAGGUGUAUCUUGGUUCGAAGCUUGAACUUUUCUUCCAAACCAACCAAAAGUUGAUUCUUUGAUGUAGUGAUAGAAAUGUCUACUUUAUUGACAUCUCCAGAAAACGUGUUGUCCUAAACCAUGCAGGUACAACACAACAUUUUAUUAUUAGAAUUUGAAUAUGAGAACAAAUUUUGAUGUGCAGCAUAUUAUAACUUUGUUAAAAACUUAUAAACUUGUUAAGAACUAGUUAAUGGUUGCAUCUUAGUAGAAAGUAAAAUAAAAACAAACAUCAACAGUAUUGCAUUAAGGUCAAAAAUAAACUCACCAAUCUCUCCUUGUAGUGUUGUGGUCUUAUGUCAUAGAACUCCUUUAGAAAUGCAAUCAGGAAAAACAAACAGGUAGAUAAGUUGUACAACAAAUUUGUUUGAUCAAACCAGCCAAAUUGUGUUAACUCAUACUUUUUUCUGGUGUACGAUAGAAAUGAAGUUGGUCGUCUGUCUUAAUCAAGUUCAUGUUUGAAGUGUGUAUCUUGGUUCGAAGCUUGAGCUUUUCUUCUAAACCUUGUGUCCAUGCAGCCAAAAGUUGAUUCUUUGACAUAGUGACUAAACCUUAUGUCCUUGCAACCAAAAGUUGAUUCUUUGACAUCGUGACAAAAAUGUCUACUUUAUUGACAUGUCCAGAAAAUGUGUUGUCCUGAAUCAUGCAGAUGCAACACAACAUUUUAUUAUUAGAAUUUGAAUAUGAGAACUAAUUUUGAUGUGCAGCAUAUUGUAACUUUGUUAAAAACUUAUCCUAGUCAUCUUUAAUAGCAUUAGGCCCCUCUACACUGAACAUCUCAAAAUCCAUGAAUGUUAAAAACUUAUAACGCUUUGUAGCUUCAGUUGGUGCACCAUCCUUGAAGUGAUCUAGCAAUAAAUCUUUCUUUUGUAGCUCAUCGAUCAACUCAGCCUUCUUUUCGGUACAUAGAUAAUAUUGCUUCAAAGUCUUUGUUUGACUUUACUAUGCUUAUCUCGUUUGUAUGCAUGUAUGCUACAAAUUUAAGCUUAAGCUCCAGUAUAUUUACCUCAUCUUCCACUUUAUUUAGUAAUGCUUCCUAUGUAAUGUACAGAGAGAACUAGUUAAUGAUUGCAUCUUCGUAGAAAGUAUAAAAACAAACAUCAACAAUAUUGUAUUAAGGUAAAAAAUAAACUCUCCAAUCUCUCCUUGUAGUGUUGUAGUCUUAUGUCAUAUAACUCCUUUAGAACUCUAAUCAAGAAAAACAAACAAGUAAGAUAAGUUGUACAACAAAUUUGUUUGAUCAAGCCAGCCAAAUUGUGUUAACUUGUACUCUCUUUUGGUAUAUUAUAGCAAUGAAGCUGGUCGUCUGUCUUAAUCAAGUUCAUGUUUGAAGUGUGUAUCUUGGUUCGAAGCUUGAACUUUUCUUCCAAACCUUGUGUCUUGGCAACCAAAAGUUGAUUAUUUGACGUAGUGACAUAAAUGUCUACUUUAUAAACAUCUCCAGAAAACGUGUUGUCCUAAACCAUGCAGGUACAACACAACAUUUUAUUAUUAGAAUUUGAAUAUGAGAACAAAUUUUGAUGUGCAGCAUAUUGUAACUUUGUUAAAAACUUAUAAACUUGUUAAGAACUAGUUAAUGGUUGCAUCUUAGUAGAAAGUAAAAUAAAAACAAACAUCAACAAUAUUGCAUUAAGGUCAAAAAUAAACUCACAAAUCUCUCAUUGUAGUGUUGUGGUCUUGUGUCAUAGAACUCCUUUAGAAAUGCAAUCAGGAAAAAAUAAACGGGUAAGAUAAGUUGUACAACAAAUUUGUUUGAUCAAACCAGCCAAAUUGUGUUAACUCGUACUUUCUUCUGGUGUACUAUAGAAAUGAAGCUAGUAGUCUAUCUUAAUUAAGUUCAUGUUUGAAGUGUGUAUCUUGGUUCAAAGCUUGAACUUUUCUUUUAAACCUUGUGUCCUUGCAGCCAAAAGUUGAUUCUUUGACAUAGUGACAUAAAUGUCUACUUUAUUGACAUCUCCAGAAAACGUGUUGUCUUGAACCAUGCAAAUGCAACACAACAUUUUAUUAUUAGAAUUUGAAUAUGAGAACUAAUUUUGAUGUGCAACAUAUUGUAACUGUGUUAAAAACCUAUCCUAGUCAUCUUUAAUAGCAUCAAGCCCCUCUACACUGAACGUCUCAAAAUCCAUGAAUGUUAAAAACUUAUAACGCUUUGUAGCUUCAGUUGGUGCACCAUCCUUGAAGUGAUCUAGCAAUAAAUCUUUCUUUUGUAGCUCAUCGAUCAACUCAGCCUUCUUUUCGGUACAUAGAUAAUAUUGCCUUCAAAAUCUUUGUUUGACUUUACUAUGCUUAUCUCGUUUGUAUGCAUGUAUGCUACAAAUUUAAGCUUAAGCUCUAGUAUAUUUACCUCAUCUUCCACUUUAUUUAGUAAUGCUUCAUGUGUAAAGUAUAGAGAGAACUAGUUAAUGGUUGCAUCUUGGUAGAAAGUAUAUUAAAAACAAAUAUCAACAAUAUUGCAUUAAGGUCAAAAAUAAACUCACCAAUCUCUCCUUGUAGUGUUGUGGUCUUAUGUCAUAGAACUCCUUUAGAAAAGCAAUAAGGAAAAACAAACAGGUAAGAUAAGUUGUACAACAAAUUUGUUUGAUCAAACCAGCCAAAUUUUGUUAACUCAUACUUUCUUCUGGUGUACUAUAGAAAUGAAGAUGGUCGUCCGUCUUAAUCAAGUUCAUGUUUGAAGUGUAUAUCUUGGUUCGAAGCUUGAACUUUUCUUCCAAACCUUGUGUCCUGGCAACCAAAAGUUGAUUCUUUGACAUAGUGACAUAAAUGUCUACUUUAUUGACAUCUUCAGAAAAUGGUUGUCCUGAACCAUGCAGGUGCAACACAACAUUUUAUAUUUAGAAUUUGAAUAUGAGAACUAAUUUUGAUGUGCAACAUAUUGUAACUUUGUUAAAAACUUAUCCUAGUCAUCUUUAAUAGCAUCACGCCCCUCUACACUGAGCGUCUCAAAAUCUAUGGAUGUUAAAAACUUAUAACGUUUUGUAGCUUCAGUUGGUGCACCAUCCUUCAAGUGAUCCAGCAAUAAAUCUUUCUUUUGUAGCUCAUCGACCAACAACCUUCCUUUUCGGUACAUAGAUAAUAUUGCCUUCAACAUCUUUAUUUGACUUUACUAUGCUUAUCUCAUUUGUAUGCACGUAUGCUACAAAUUUAAGUUAAAGCUCCAGUAUAUUUACCUCAUCUCCCACAUGAUUUUGUGCCAUUCCAACAAUAGCAUUGGCGAUAUUCCUCACUGUGGUGGUAGGAACAAUGCUCUAAAACAUAACUAGGAAACUGAGAAACUUUUUCUCAUUCGUCAACAAUUUCUUCUUAAAAGCACAUAACAUAAUUUUUCUUUGAACGCGUUUCAAUCCAUCAACCAUUGAUGGAAUUGAUCUUUGCAGAUAAUCCCUGCAAAACUCUCUAAACUCAUUUUGGAAAAAGUCACUGUAUGUUUUGAAUGUCUGUCGAGGAUUAAAAGGACUACUAGGUUGUGAAUCCACAUACUGGGCAAGCCAAUCUCUUCUAUCUUCUACUCUGUUUUUACUAAAAGCAAGAGUAAUUACAUCCUCAACGUUAUCGUCCCAAAGAUAGCAUUUCUUAUGAUCCUCAAUAUUUUCAAAAUAUUCUUUCAUUUCCUCAAGGUUGCAUGAAGCCAACCCCUAAAAGCAUGUACAUAUAUUGUACAAGAAUAAGAGUACUUAUGACAAUAUGCAUGGUGCAUGAAGAGUAAGUUGAAAACAUAAGGAACACGUACCUUGUAAUACUUGAUGGAAUAGUCAGCAACAUUGUCCGUCUCUUCUCUCCAGUCCUUAAACUCUCUGAUUGAAUAAAAUGCUCGAGAAUGAUGAUCUUGACUGCCAUCCUUCUUAAUCGCCUAUACAGAUCCACUCCAAACAUACAAGUUAAAACAAGGAAUACGUAUGUGCAUUCUUGUACUUGAUAACAAUAUUUAACUCAUAUUGAAGUUAUCUAAGCAUAUGGUAGUCAAACAAUAUAAACAAACCUUCAAAAUAGGAGUUAUAAACCCAACAAAAAGUGGUGGUCAAUUUUAAGAAGUGAGGACCAAUAAAAAUGAAAAAAAUUAAUCAAAAGCCGUUUGAUGUGGGAACCAUCAUGAUCCUACACAAACACAUACGUUAAACUUCUCAGUGGUCAUCAAGAUGAUGAUAUGCAUAUUAAAAUUGUGUAUAGGAUUUCAAAGGAUAAAACCAAAAUAAAGAUGUUUGAGGCAUCUAACAUGAUCUGCCAUGAUCAUCACCAAAUCGUAGCCUAAUGAUUUGACACCCUCACAUUUUUUGUUUUUUUGUAACCCCAAAAUCCUAAUGAUAUUGUUAACUUCCUCCUUAUUCAUAAGUUGAGCUUUGGUAGCUUGUCUUACAUUGAGCAAUUUACCUUUCAACGGAAAAACAUCAUAAUGUUGCCUGCCCAAAAAAGUGAGCCUUGUCAACUGUUUGGAAUGAAUUAUGUUAGCAUAUGUACUAUAUAGGACAAAAUCCAAUAAAUAAAUACAAAUUUUGUUGUCUAAUAUGCCAAAAUUAUGCAUAACUGCCUUAGUAGAUUUUCCUCAAAAUCAAGGUGCAAUUUGCAGAGUCUUUCCAUCCAGCUAAAUAUGUCAACCCUUUUAUUUGAAACAUUUCUUACAUAUGGCAGUACAUGUCUUCAAAAUAUCCACAAUCUAAGAUACGACCAUUGAAAAAUAAUCUGAAUGUGAGAAUCAAGGCUAAAGUAUUACAGUUAAACAAUUAAUUCGUUGCACACGUAAGAGAUAAAAGUCUUUGUGUUUAGGGUUUAAUAAUAAAUUAUUCUUCUCUCUGGGAGGUGCAUAUAUAGUUGUACAAGAGGUCCUAUAAAUUAGGAAACAAGAAUCCCACAAUGAAUCAAUCAUGUGAUCCUAUUCCUAAAAUAUAUGAUUACAUUCCUGAAAUUUAAGGUUGACUCACGCUAACACUCCCCCUCAAGUUGGUGCAUAGAUAUCUCCUAAACCCAACUUGUCAAGUGAGUCUUUAAAGACUUUUGCCGUCACUGCAUGAGUUAACACAUCAGCUAACUGUUCUUCAGACCUCACAUACGGAAUGUCAAUCAACUUAACGUCUAACUUCUCUUUGAUGAAGUGUCUAUCCACUUCCACAUGUUUUGUACGAUCAUGUUGGACUGGAUUAUUCGCUAUCUCUCUCGCUGCUUGAUUAUCACAGUGUAAUAACAUAGUUUCCCGAGGCUUGAAUCCUAUCUCGGUGAGAAGAAUCCGGAUCCAUAAUAGUUCACAAAUCCCAUGUGCCAUACCUCGAUAUUCCGCUUCAGCUGUGGACCUGGCCACAACAUUUUGUUUUUUGCUUCUCCAAGUUACAAGAUUCCCUCCCACAAAUGUAAAGUAACCAGAUGUGGAGCGACGAUCACUAAUAUUCCCAGCCCAGUCGGCAUCUGUAUACCCUUUUAUCUCCAUAUGUCCAUGUUUCUUGAAAAUCAAUCCUUUCCCAGGUGCACCUUUCAGAUAACUCAAUAUACGCAUCACAGCUGCCAUAUGAUCUUCACUAGGAGAGUGCAUAAACUGGCUUACAACACUAACUGCAUAUGCAAUAUCCGGCCUUGUGAGCGAUAAGUAGAUCAACCUUCCUACUAACCUCUGGUACCUCUCUUUAUUAGUAGGAGUUUGAUCCUGGUAUAUUGCCAGAUGAUGAUUCUGCACAAUGGGAGUCUCUGCUGGUUUACAUGCCAACAUCCCAGUUUCAGAAAGAAGAUCAAGCACAUACUUCCGCUGAGACAAGUAAAUACCAUCACGAGAACGAGCAACUUCAAUUCCCAGAAAGUAUUUCAAGCCCCCUAGAUCUUUCAUCUCAAAUUCUGCGGAAAGGUAAUUUUGCAGUCUUUUUAUCUCUUCUGUAUCAUCACCUGUAACCACCAUAUCAUCCACAUAAAUGAUCAACAAAGUAACUUUACCUCCCAUACGUUUCAUAAACAGAGUAUGGUCUGCAUUCCCUUGUUUGUAGCCAUAACUUUUCAUUGCUUGGGUGAACCUUCCAAACCACGCUCUGGGUGACUGUUUGAGUCCAUAGAGAGCUUUCAGAAGUCUACACACUUUUCCUGCUCCAUUUGGUACGUCAUAUCCAGGUGGAAAAUCCAUGUAUACUUCUUCUUCCAGAUCUCCAUGUAGGAAAGCAUUUUUCACAUCAAACUGUUUCAAUGGCCAAUCAAAGUUUGCAGCUAAGGACAAAAGAACUCGAAUAGUAUUCAUUUUUGCAACCGGAGCAAACGUUUCCUGGUAAUCAACUCUGAAUGUCUGUGUGUACCCUUUUGCUACCAAUCUUGCUUUGUAUCUAUCUAUAGAUCCGUCUGCUUUGUGUUUUAUGGUGAAUACCCAUUUACAUCCCACUGGUCUCUUCCCAUGCGGUAGUGGUACCACAUUCCAUGUUUCAUUUUUCUGUAAAGCCUCCAUCUCAACCUCCAUGGCUUCCUUCCAACGAGGAUCUUGUAAGGCUUCUUCCACUUUUGUUGGAAUCUUGAUUCCCGCCAUUUGAUUCACCAAGGCUUGAUACUUGGGUGAUAGUCGAUGUGUUGACAUAUAUUGUGCAAUUGCAUAUCUCACUUUUCCAUCCGGAGAGAACCUGUCAGGUGGUUUCCCACGAUUUUGCCUAGGAGGUAAAAUAUAAGAAUUUUCACCAAUAUCUGAAUUAUAAGAACGUACCUCUUGAAUAUCCUCGGGGACAUGAGCGUGUACCAGCAUAGGAGGAUGAGGGUUAUUAUGUGUUGGAGCUGCUACUUCGGCGCUGUCUGUUAGCCCACUUGCUAACUCACAAAUUUCAGGCCCAUCUAUGGGCUGCACAGGUGUCUCUCUCGGUGUGCAAUACCCACCGCUGCUUUUUGCAGCAUGCUCCAUCACGCAUGGGCCAGCAUCACAUGCUUCAGUGCUUGGGCUUCGGUCACCUAGGCUGACAGCGUCCUUUAUGAGCUGUCUUUCACAAGGCUGCCCUUUGCUAAGCCCACUCGAACUGCCCAAUUCAAACGGCAGAUCAAGCCACCUGUAAUCGUCAACUAUACAAUCUAUCUCCCCCUGACGAGUAGGGUGGGUUUGGUCAGUAGCAAAGAACAUCUCGGUUUCAGAGAAUGUAACAUCCAUGGUGAUGUAAAAAUGUUUAGACGAUGGAUGAUAACACUUAUAUCCCUUUUGUUGGCUAUUGAAUCCCAAAAACACACACCGAACCGCACAUGGGUCCAAUUUACUCCGUUGAUUUUUUUGAAGGUGCACAUAUGCCACACAUCCAAAAAUGCGAGGUGAUAACUGGAGAGAGGAUGGUAGAGUGACAUGAUCUGUUAGGACUUCCAUAGGGGUGCGAAAAUUAUGAACUCUUGAUGGCAUUCGGUUUAGGAGAUAAACAGAAUAGGUGACAGCAUCUGCCCAAUAGGUGUUAGGAGCAUGAGCCCCAAUCAGAAGAGCUCGAGUGGUUUCCAAGAUAUGUCGAUUCUUACGUUCCGCUACCCCGUUUUGUUGUGGAGUUUGAGGGCAAGUAGUCUCAUGCAGAAUGCCAUGCUCCCUGAAAAAUUGAGAGAGUUCGAAAUUAAGAUAUUCUCCACCGUUAUCAGAUCGGAGAACUUUAAUAGGGAGAGAAAAUUGAUUUCCAAUCAUGCGGUAAAAUUGUUGAAAGAUUUGACCAACAUCACUUUUCUGUUUCAUCGUAUAGAGCCAUGUCAUUCUAGUGCAAUCAUCCACAAAGAUAACAAACCAACGAAUGCCAUGUUGUGUAAUUAUUGGUGAAGGACCCCACACAUCAGAGUGAACUAACUCAAAAGGCAUCGUUCUUUUAUUUAAACUCAAACGGUACGAAGUACGAUGACUUUUUGCGAGAAUGCAAUCAUUACAGUGAAAAUCAGAAUCUGAUACACCACUAAAUAAAGACGGAAGUAACUUCUUCAAAUAACCAAAAGAUGCAUGUCCUAGUCGACGAUGCCAUAACCAAACUGCCUUGGUUUUAUUAUUGUUGCUGCUACGCACUUGAUUGACUCGGCCUGGAACGACGUCUUCCACAUAGUAUAACCCUCUCCUCUUAGUACCACGCCCAAUGAUCGCCCGUGUCUGGAUAUCCUGAAGUAGGCAAAAAGUAGGGAACAUUAGUACUACACAAUCUAACUGUUCCGUAACCUGACCCACCGAAAGUAAAUGAUUUGACAAUGAUGGAACAAGUAACGUGUUGUGCAGAGAUAGAGAAGGAGUAAGGGCUAUAGAACCAGCUCCCGUAACAGAAGCAAUUUCACCAUUGGCAGUAAUCACAUUCUCUUUUGGUGGGAAAGUCUUGUGGUGAAACAAUGAUGCGUCAUAUGUCAUAUGGUCGGUAGCCCCAGAGUCUAUUAUCCAGCCAGAGUCACGUUUAGUAGAUGCUAUAAGUACAGUACCGAUUUUACCUGGAUCAUUAUGUGAAAUUUGCCUAAUUAAAGACAACAUUUGAUCGGUAUCUUCAUGAACUGCUGCAGGCUCCAUUUUUCCCUCCUGGUUGUGGGCUAAUAUAUUUGACUUGGGCCCAGAUUGGCCAGCGGCCACAGCUGCUUUCCCAAGGUCAGAAUUAUGCUCUUGGUUGGAUUUAGGCCCCAUUCGGCCUGCUGCCACAACAGUCACUCCAGCUCCAGAUUCGGCCAACUUGGCCUGACUCGUGCGUCUCCCCUUUGCCUUCAAUUCCUUUUUCCUUUCCCAGUACCACUCUGGGUACCCGUGGAUCUCAAAACAAGUUUCUUCAGUGUGCCUCUUUCCAUUGCAAUGAUUGCAAUGAAGCUUGUCCUUGUCAAUGUCUUCCUGGGUACGGUUUGGACGAGGUGCUUCAGUGGCUGAUGGACGGAGGGAUGGUGACGGGGACUUGGUGAUCAUUGCCAUAGAGGAGCUUGUUGUAAUGGCUUUUGUUCCAAGCAUGGUGGUCUGUCUUUGUGCUUCACGUCUAACUAAACUGAAGCAUUCUUCAAUCGCAGGGAUGGGUUUCAUUCUUAGGAUCUCACUCCGGACUUGGUCGAAUCCAUUAUCCAGUCCGGCAAGGAAAUCAUACACCCUGUCCUUUGACAACUCUUCCUUGCGGGUUCGAAGGUCAACCGUGCAUACCAUCUUGAUAGGACGCCAUCUAUCAAGAUCUUGCCAUACUCCCUUCAGUUCUGUGAAAUAUAAAUUUACCGGACGAUCGUCUUGUCUAGUCCGUGUCGCCUUGCAUCUCAAUUCAUAAUACUGAGACUCGUCGGAUCCGUCAUAGAACAUCUGGCUUGCACUUUCCUAGAUGUCCUUGGCUGUCGGUAAAUCGAUGAAGAGACUCAACAGGUGUGGUUCCAUGGUUUUCAAUAGCCAUCCUCGCACAAUAGCAUCUUCAGUGACCCACUUGGUGUAUCCUGGAGAGUCUUCUGUGAUAGCUGGGAUUUUUCCAGUUAAAUACCCAUGCUUGCCGAGGCCUGAAGCAUGAACCUCCAUCAUCUUCGACCACACUUUCCAGUUUGUGUCAUUCAAUCUGUAUCCAAACAGAAUGCCGCUGAUGUUGGUAGGCUCAUUUGGAAUGGACAAGGAUUGGAUGGUAACCAACUCACCAGUUUUUCUUUCUUCAGCCAUCAGACCAAAUUGGUUUUUUUUUUUUUUUAAUUUAAUAAGGUUGAAUUUGAUGCAGCCUUGAUGAUUACAACGCCACAGAUUUUGGAUUCCUGGGUUCAACUUUUAAGAACACCAGAAGUUGCUUCUGAUGCAACCUUGGUUGCAGUUUGUACGUUUGUCUGGUUUUAGGGUUUGGUUUGGGAAGAGACAGGCCGAAAACCUGCUCUUGAUACCAAGAUAAAAGUCUUUGUGUUUAGGGUUUAAUAAUAAAUUAUUCUUCUCUCUGGGAGGUGCAUAUAUAGUUGUACAAGAGGUCCUAUAAAUUAGGAAACAAGAAUCCCACAAUGAAUCAAUCAUGUGAUCCUAUUCCUAAAAUAUAUGAUUACAUUCCUGAAAUUUAAGGUUGACUCACGCUAACAGUAAGUACCUUCAUUUAAGGAGUGCUUUGGAAGUGAAAAAGAAUUCCAUAAAUGAUCUUGUGCAUGGAAAUGAGAACGUUUCUUUUAGGUCAUCAAAUGAAGCAUUACUGAUAUUAGCUUUCAAAACGAUCCAUAGAUGCUUCUUCACAUCAUCAGGUGUUAGGUUGAAAUUGUGUUUUUCAUCGAUAAUAUUCACCAGAUGCUCUGCGAUCUUAUUUGCCACGAAAUCCACAAGAGGUCUACCCUUGAUUGUAUUGAAUAAAUUCACAAAGGUGACCUGGGUCAAAUAAAAAACAAUUUUCGGAAGUAUAAAAAAGGAAAAAUACCUACCCAAAUUUCAGAAAAAUCAAAGUGAUGUAAAAUAAUGGCUAGGCUAGGCUAGGCUAGGCUUAGUAAGCUAGCUAGUUAUGCGGUUAUGCAAUGAUGCAAAAUUGCAAAUGCUUUCGUCCAUUUAAUAUUGAAAAAUACUAAGAGAAAUAUCUCUACUACCUAACAGUUUAACGUUAAUUUCUAUAUUAAUAUUGUAAAACAUCACAUAAAAAAUAUAAGGUGAUAGAGAGGAAUUAAUAUGCUUAUUUUUAAAACAGCUUUCGAUGUUUACGAUUGCAUCAGUACAUAAGUUUCGGCACGAAUGUAUCGGUACAUAAAUUUCAAUACGAAUGUUGCGGUACAAUUGUAUCAGUACAUAAGUUCUAGUACGAUUGCAUCGGUACAUAAGUUUCGGUACGAAUGUAUCAGUACAUAAGUUUUGGUACGAAUGUAUCGGUACAUAAGUUUCGGUACAAAUGUACUAUGAGUAUAUAAGUUUUGGUACGAAUGUAUUGGUUCAUAAGUUUCAGUACGAAUGUAUUAUCGGUACAAUUGCAUCGGUACAUAAGUUUCGAUACGAAUGUAUCUGUAUAUAAGUUUUGGUUGGUGCACUAUCCUUCAAGUGAUCCAGCAAUAAAUCUUUCUUUUGUAGCUCAUCGAUCAACAGCAUUCCUUUUCGGUACAUAGAUAAUAUUGCCUUCAACAUUUUUAUUUGACUUUACUAUGUUUAUCUCAUUUGUAUGCACGUAUGCUACAAAUUUAAGCUAAAGCUCCAGUAUAUUUACCUCAUCUCCCACAUGAUUUUGUGCCAUUCCAACAAUAGCAUUGGCGAUAUUCCUCACUGUGGUGGUAGGAACAAUGCUCUAAAACAUAACUAAGAAACCGAGAAACUUUUUCUCAUUCGUCAACAAUUUCUUCUUAAAAGCACAUAACAUAAUUUUUCUUUGAACGCGUUUCAAUCCAUCAACCAUUGAUGGAAUUGAUCUUUGCAGAUAAUCCCUGCAAAACUCUCUAAACACAUUUUGGAAAAAGUCACUGUAUGUUUUGAAUGUCUGUCGAUGAUUAAAAGGACUACUAGGUUGUGAAUCCGCAUACUGGGCAAGCCAAUCUCUUCUAUCUUCUACUCUGUUUUUACUAAAAGCAAGAGUGAUUACAUCCUCAACGUUAUCGUCCCAAAGAUAGCAUUUCUUAUGAUCCUCAAUAUUUUCAAAAUAUUCUUUCAUUUCCUCAAGGUUGCAUGAAGCCAACCCCUAAAAGCAUGUACAUAUUGUACAAGAAUAAGAGUACUUAUGACAAUAUGCAUGGUGCAUGAAGAGUAAGUUGAAAACAUAAGGAACACGUACCUUGUAAUACUUGAUGGAAUAGUCAGCAACAUUGUCCGUCUCUUCUCUCCCGUCCUUAAACUCUCUGAUUGAAUAAAAUGCUCGAGAAUGAUGAUCUUGACUGCCAUCCUUCUUAAUCGCCUAUACAGAUCCACUCCAAACAUACAAGUUAAAAACAAGGAAUACGUAUGUGCAUUCUUGUACUUGAUAACAAUCUUUAACUCAUAUUGAAGUUAUCUAAGCAUAUGGUAGUCAAACAAUAUAAACUAACCUUCAAAAUAGGAGUUAUAAACCCAACAAAAAGUGGUGGUCAAUUUUAAGAAGCGAGGACCAAUAAAAAUGAAAAAAAUUAAUCAAAAGCCGGUUGAUGUGGGAACCAUCAUGAUCCUACACAAACACAUGCGUUAAACUUCUCAAUGGUCAUCAAGAUGAUGAUAUGCAUAUUAAAAUUGUGUAUAGGAGUCCUUUGGAAGUGAAAAAGAAUUCCAUAAAUGAUCUUGUGCAUGGAGAUGAGAAAGUUUCUUUUAGGUCAUCAAAUGAAGCAUUACUGAUAUUAGCUUUCAAAAGGAUCCAUAGAUGCUUCUUCACAUCAUCGGGUGUUAGGUUGAAAUUUUGCUUUUCAUCGAUAAUAUUCACCAGAUGCUCUGCGAUCUUAUUUGCCACGAAAUCCACAAGAGGUCUACUCUUGAUUGUAUUGAAUAAAUUCAGAAAGGUGACUUGCGUCAAAUAAAAAACAAUUUUCGGAAGUAUAAAAAAGGAAAAAUACCUACCCAAAUUUCAGAAAAAUCAAAGUGAUGUAAAAUAAUGGCUAGGCUAGGCUAGGCUUAGUAAGCUAGCUAGUUAUGCGGUUAUGCAAUGAUGCAAAAUUGCAAAUGCUUUCGUCCAUUUAAUAUUGAAAAAUACUAAGAGAAAUAUCUCUACUACCUAACAGUUUAACGUUAAAUUCUGUAUUAAUAUUGUAAAACAUCACAUAAAAAAUAUAAGGUGAUAGAGAAGAAUUAAUAUGCUUAUUCUUAAAACAGCUUUCGAUGUUUACGAUUGCAUCAGUACAUAAGUUUCGGCACGAAUGUAUCGAUACAUAAAUUUCAAUACGAAUGUUGCGGUACAAUUGUAUCAGUACAUAAGUUCUAGUACGAUUGCAUCGGUACAUAAGUUUUGGUACGAAUGUAUCGGUACAUAAGUUUCGGUACAAAUGUACUAUGAGUAUAUAAGUUUUGGUACGAAUGUAUCGGUUCAUAAGUUUCAGUACGAAUGUACUAUUGGUACAUAAAUUUCGGUACAAUUGCAUCGGUACAUAAGUUUCGAUACGAAUGUAUCUGUAUAUAAGUUUUGGUUGGUGCACCAUCCUUCAAGUGAUCCAGCAAUAAAUCUUUCUUUUGUAGCUCAUCGAUCAACAGCCUUCCUUUUCGGUACAUAGAUAAUAUUGCCUUCAACAUCUUUAUUUGACUUUACUAUGCUUAUCUCAUUUGUAUGCACGUAUGCUACAAAUUUAAGCUAAAGCUCCAGUAUAUUUACCUCAUCUCCCACAUGAUUUUGUGCCAUUCCAACAAUAGCAUUGGCGAUAUUCCUCACUGUGGUGGUAGGAACAAUGCUCUAAAACAUAACUAGGAAACCGAGAAACUUUUUCUCAUUCGUCAACAAUUUCUUCUUAAAAGCACAUAACAUAAUUUUUCUUUGAACGCGUUUCAAUCCAUCAACCAUUGAUGGAAUUGAUCUUUGCAGAUAAUCCCUACAAAACUCUCUAAACACAUUUUGGAAAAAGUCAUUGUAUGUUUUGAAUGUCUGUCGAGGAUUAAAAUGACUACUAGGUUGUGAAUCCGCAUACUUGGCAAGCCAAUCUCUUCUAUCUUCUACUCUGUUUUUACUAAAAGCAAGAGUGAUUACAUCCUCAACGUUAUCGUCCCAAAGAGAGCAUUUCUUAUGAUCCUCAAUAUUUUCAAAAUAUUCUUUCAUUUCCUCAAGGUUGCAUGAAGCCAACCCCUAAAAGCAUGUACAUAUAUUGUACAAGAAUAAGAGUACUUAUGACAAUAUGCAUGGUGCAUGAAGAGUAAGUUGAAAACAUAAGGAACACGUACCUUGUAAUACUUGAUGGAAUAGUCAGCAACAUUGCCGUCUCUUCUCUCCAGUCCUUAAACUCUCUGAUUGAAUAAAAUGCUCGAGAAUGAUGAUCUUGACUGCCAUCCUUCUUAAUCGCCUAUACAGAUCCACUCCAAACAUACAAGUUAAAAACAAGGAAUACAUAUGUGCAUUCUUGUACUUGAUAACAAUCUUUAACUCAUAUUGAAGUUAUCUAAGCAUAUGGUAGUCAAACAAUAUAAACUAACCUUCAAAAUAGGAGUUAUAAACCCAACAAAAAGUGGUGGUCAAUUUUAAGAAGCGAGGACCAAUAAAAAUGAAAAAAAUUAAUCAAAAACCGUUUGAUGUGGGAACCAUCAUGAUCCUACACAAACACAUACGUUAAACUUCUCAGUGGUCAUCAAGAUGAUGAUAUGCAUAUUAAAAUUGUGUAUAGGAGUCCUUUGGAAGUGAAAAAGAAUUCCAUAAAUGAUCUUGUGCAUGGAGAUGAGAAAGUUUCUUUUAGGUCAUCAAAUGAAGCAUUACUGAUAUUAGCUUUCAAAAGGAUCCAUAGAUGCUUCUUCACAUCAUCGGGUGUUAGGUUGAAAUUUUGCUUUUCAUCGAUAAUAUUCACCAUAUGCUCUGCGAUCUUAUUUGCCACGAAAUCCACAAGAGGUCUACCCUUGAUUGUAUUGAAUAAAUUCAGAAAUGUGACCUGGGUCAAAUAAAAAACAAUUUUCGGAAGUAUAAAAAAGGAAAAAUACCUACCCAAAUUUCAGAAAAAUCAAAGUGAUAUAAAAUAAUGGCUAGGCUAGGCUAGGCUAGGCUAGGCUUAGUAAGCUAGCUAGUUAUGCGGUUAUGCAAUGAUGCAAAAUUGCAAAUGCUUUCGUCCAUUUAAUAUUGAAAAAUACUAAGAGAAAUAUCUAUACUACCUAACAGUUUAACGUUAAAUUAUGUAUUAAUAUUGUAAAACAUCACAUAAAAAAUAUAAGGUGAUAGAGAGGAAUUAAUAUGUUUAUUUUCGAAACAACUUUCGAUGUUUACGAUUGCAUCAGUACAUAAGUUUCGGCACGAAUGUAUCGGUACAUAAAUUUCAAUACGAAUGUUGCGGUACAAUUGUAUCAGUACAUAAGUUCUAGUACGAUUGCAUCGGUACAUAAGUUUAGGUACAUAAGUUUCGGUACGAAUGUAUCAGUACAUAAGUUUUGGUACGAAUGUAUCGGUACAUAAGUUUCUGUACAAAUGUAGUAUGAGUAUAUAAGUUUUGGUAUGAAUGUAUCGGUUCAUAAGUUUUAGUACGAAUGUACUAUCGGUAUAUAAAUUUCGGUACAAUUGCAUCGGUACAUAAGUUUCGAUACGAAUAUAUCUGUAUAUAAGUUUUAGUACAAAAUGUAUCAGAACAUAACUAUAGUACAUACAUAAGAAUGUAAUAUGCAUAUACAUACAUAUAGACAAAUUUACGCACCAAUUAAGAAUAUAUGAUACAUAUGGUUUUUUUGUUUUUGUGGAAACUUAAUAAUAAUUGUCAAAUAAUAAAAUCUCAAUAACUAUUACAACUUAAUUAGUAUUUGAUUGUUACAAUUAAAUGUCAAUGACUAAAGUUAAUUUUUAAUCUUAUAUAUGUUUUUAUUCUCGAAGUAAUAUUAUUCAAGGAUUGAAAUAGAAUUUUCUAUAAUAAGGAUGAUGUGCGUCUCAAUCUCUUGAGACAUUGGUAGACCCAUCCAACAUAGCCUAAAGUAAGUUUUAUACGUGUAGUCCAAAUGACAUAAGUUUUGCUAUAUCUGAUAUGAUUUGGCCAAUAGUCACGCAUGCCUGUAUACUGUUUCACACUGACUAACUGAAUACAACUGACUAAUUGAUUAGGUUAGGAUAACUAAUUGAUCGCCUACUAUCAUCAGUUAUCUACAAUUACUAAUACUAAGUGAGGAAAUAUUUCUUAUCCUAUUAAAUGUGAUCGGCUAUUUGCAUUAUAGUACGCAACUGUAUUCGGUUUUGCAUCUAAUCUUCUAUUAGCUCUAAGUAGUUCAUAUCUUUUCUUAUAGUCUAUUUGCAAGUCUUUCUAGAUCUUACUCUACUUUUUUUGCCCUGAGUUUCCAUCUUAUAGUUGCAUCUUUUAACCAAAAUAUAUGUAAGUUUUCGAUUCACGUGUCCAAACUACCUUAAUUAAUUUUCUCUCAUUUUAUCUUCAAUUGCAGUCACCUCCUACUUUACCUCAUAUAUACUUUAUCUUAUAUGAAUUAUCUAUACGCACCUAUUAAUUUUCAUACAUUAGUUGUCAAAACAAACAACAUUUGGCAUAUGAUAUAUAAUUAGAUGCUUUUAGUUGUCUUAAAUGGCAUUCGAGUCACUUACGAGCCAAGAAUAUCGACUAUACUUUGGAAGCUUUAAUUUAAUUUGGUGUACAAAAAAGAUAUUGUCACACCCAUCUCUAAUUAUAUUGGAAGGUUGAAUUUAGAGUCACAUUGUCACACUCAUAAAUACACACAAAUUGGCAUAUUUGUAUUUAUUUUGAUUAAUUAAUGAAUAUCAAACAAUAGUUUAUUGAGAAAAGAAAAGAAAAAUACAUUACCCAAAUUUCAGAAAAAUCAAAGUGAAGUAACCGUAUUAUCAUGGCUAGGCUAGGCUUCGUAGGCUAGCUAGUUGGUUAUGCGGUUAUGAAAAGAUGCAAAAUUGCAAAUGUUUUCGUCUAUUUAAUAUUGAAAAAUGCUAAAAGGAGUCUUUUAAAUGAGAAUCUUUUUACUACCUAACAAUUUAACGUCAAUUUAUGUAUCAAUAUUAUAAAAUAUUCUAUCAAAAAUAUAAGAUGACAAAAAGAAAUUGAUGUGCUUAUUUUUAAAAUAGCUUUUGUUGUACUUUAAGAAAAACAAAAGUUGGUUGCUGAACAAUUAGCAGGAGUUCCUGCUGAAAAGCCAAUGUAAUUGCUCUUGGUUUGACACGUUUUUUCCUUCUUUUUUUUCCUACAGAAUUGUUCAUUUUGAAAAGUAUCCUUCUAACACAAAUGCCCUCUCUUACCAGUCUCCUUCAUUCCUUAUUUUGUAGAAAAUUACUCAUUCAUUAAUAUAAGGGGUAUUCUAGGCCAAUAAAUUUUUAUCAAACAAAAUUUAGUGUUUUCUCUUUAAAUUGAAGCAGCUUUUUGAUGGAAAAAUGUAACACCAAACAGAGCCUAAGUAUGCGACUUUUAUGGUUCAAGCAAACAUCGGUUUUGGAGUUUACAGAUAAAUUGUCUCCAUUUAGUAUUAGUCUGUUUCUUAAAAACAAUGUAUAAAUCUAUCGCGUGACACAUUAAAACUACUAUGUAAAGCACAAUAAAUAUUUGAUGUACAUGAGAGAUGGCACUUAUCCGAUUUCUUGUGUCUCAUUCUUCUCAUAUGUACCAUAACUUAUGCGUACAAGUUGAAAUGAUGUUUCCGAUUUUAAAAGUAAAAUUUUCACAUGAGAACUCGAAAAUUUCAAAUUCGAAUAUUUUUUGAAAAAUUAAAAUGCAUACAAGAAUUAUGAUAGUUCUAAUCCAAAUUUUUCUGAAGUAUUCCAAACUCAAGGCUGUUUGUAUCAUGAAAACAAAUUGCGUCGAACUAAGAUUUGUUCAAACUCAAAAUGUUGAGAAACAAGCUCUGCAAAUUUACAGACCCCCUCGGUGACUAUUUUUUUUUCUUUCAAAUUUUAAACUAUUCUUCAAUUAGAAACAGAGGAAAAUGUGGGGGAGAUGAGGAAGUUCAAUCCAGCACAACACAACACAAGAGCAUCUACCAUUGUAAAAAGCAUGGCCAAAUUUAUUGCCUUUUGCGAUCAAAAUUGCCAACACAAUGAAAGAAUCAACCUCUCAACCUCUAGUCAACAGAUUCACACAAUAUAAAAAGUAGGCAUAGAAUACAUUAAAACACAAGGAGACCAGAAAUGCAACAAGAAUUUGUCGACCAACAACACUCCCGAACCUCAGGCGCGCGCCCACAAAAACAACCUGAAACAAUUAAAAAAUGUGUUGAAGAGAACCAGGACAAAAAGUCCCACACUACAUAAAUGAUGGCCCAAAAAUUAAAAAAUCAGCAAUAUUGUUGUUGACGAGCUACCUAGGGAUUGUGUUAAAAAAACUCACUUGAUCAAAAACUUCUUCCUCUUGUUCAUUUUCCUCUUUAAUCAGCUCCUGUUCCUCAGGCAUCAAAGUCUUCUGCUUUGGUCCUUUCUGCUCUCUCUCUUUUUCUACUAGAACUGGCAGUGAUCACCUGCUUUAUCUCCUCCACGAUGGAUCUCACCUGGCUUUCAUCUAAAAGUGGUCCAGAUGUCUGAAAGCAAAGAUACAAGGUGCAUGAACGGGGCCAUACUCAAGAAAUGAUUCACAAUAAAAAAAACGAAAACACGAAAAAAAAAAUUUUGUCUUUUGAACAAAGCAAAUUCAGAUUAACUCAACAAAACAUUUCUCCCAAAACAGUUGGCUCGUUCACUGCUUCCAUGCAAACUAAAAUCAAGGAUUGGCUACUUCAAAACAAAUCAAUUAGUACUACACUGCGGUGACUGCCAGCAUUUCCAAGUUCAAGCCCAAAAUCUAAAAGGCAGAGAUUUAAUUAUAAAAGUUCUUGCAAAUCAAACCAAUGAUUUUCUUCUGCAAUGAAAAGAAAAUAAAACAGUAAGUGGCAUAGCAUGGAACAUGAUUAGUAUCCAGUACUCAGUAGCUCCGUCAUUGCUAGAAACAAAAAGUAGAUAUCUCUUCAUUAAGAAACGGAGCAAACUCCAACAAAAUUUGUAGAGGAAAGAGAAAAAUAAAACAUUGAGUAUUAACAAUUAAUGGUACCUGAAACAGCUGCCUUCCUAACUUCUUCAUGGAAAUAAAACUUAAGAAGUGGAACCAAAGUUGGGGCAACCUACACAAAUAUGACCUUUGUAAGUAUUCAACCAAAGUCGGACAAAAAAAUAAUAGUCGUGACACUAUCGAAUACCUGAUCAAUCCAGGGAAAGAAUCCUUCUUUCAGCCCAUCAGCAUAGCAACACAGCAUAUUGCAAGCUGUAGCUUUUUCCUCCAAGACACUAAUCUUGAUUCCAAUCCUUUUAUCCCCAAGAGUAAUUGUUUCCAUACUGUAACACAAAAGCAGCUUUUAGCUAGAGAAGGAGUAAUACAGAGCUACAUAACAGCCCUAUUUCCAGAUCUUGAUAUCUUUUACACACUCACUCACCAAAACUACACCUCAAACACUCAAAUCAGUACUUGGUAACUUAACCAGAUAAUUAUCAAGUAUAGAAGCAUAUAAAAAAGUUGAUGUGGAUGUUAAAACCACUGGUUAUCCAUGCAGUGAAAGUUUCUACACUAGAUUCAGGUACAUCACAUAUCAAAAUUUAGGAAGGAUACAAGAAAUAGGUAGCGAUGCAACAUUUGAGAUAUCAUACAUGCCUGUUGGUAUUGAACUUACAAAAAAGGGAAAUGAGAAAAGUUUCAGACCUAUCAUCAUCAGAGUCAUCAAUAUCAUUUUCGUCAUCUGCAGAUGUGAUAGUAACAUCUGGCUUAAGUUGAGCAGAUUGAAGCAAAGGAGGCAUUAGCACACUCAUGUGUGGGAGGAAAUCUUGUCCUAGGCACUUGCAGAGUCUAGCCCAGGCCUACAACAUUGUAGAUAAAUUUUUAUUGCAAACAAUAAGCUUUACUAUAGUAAUUUCAGUGCAAUUAUAAGAUAAGGGCAUACUUGUAACAUGUAACUUGUAGUUGGAUCAUCCGUCUCCAUGUGAGAUCCUUGCAAAGCCAUCAGCACUUCCAUGACCUUCAGAGAAACAGUAAACACCAGUCUGUGAUUUAGAUGAAUUGGCAGCAGCAUUUUUCUAUUAGGUUUUUAGAUUGGCCAAAAUGGCAGCAGCAUUUUUCUAUUAGGUUUUUAGAUUGGCCAAAAUGGCAGCAGCAUGUUCACAGGUUGAAAGACUCAAAUUAUAAUUUCCCAACGGAUAAUCAGAAAAGAGCUGAUGCAUAUAACUUAAGCAUAGGAGAGUGCCGAAGAGGAAAAAAAGAAGAAGUCAAUUUCCGAAUUUUGACAAAAUUAAAAUCUAUUGGGAGGAGUAAGGUAGGAAAUGGUUCAAAAUAGCCAAAAUUUAAGUCUGCAUGAACAAGCACCUUAAAAAAUAAAAUGAAACCAUCAUCCAUCAAAUAGCCAUUCAUAUCCCAAGUCCAAUAAAGUAAAUGUAGUUUUAAAUGUAUAAUGCCUUACUUGCUUAGCAUCUUCCCUGAAUUUCUCUUUUCCAACUGCCAUUCCAACCAAAUUAAUACACUCCAUCGAUUUGGCAUGAAGCAUGCGAUUGGACUUGUCAGUGGCAUUCACCAAGAUAGCUUUCAGGUAAGGCAUAACUGCAUCAUAAUAUUUUUGAAAAUGAUCCUACAAAUCCCAUUCCAUCAAACUUAAUCAUCCAACAACAACAAAGCCUUUUCCCACUAAGUGGGGUCGGCUAUAUGAAUCCUAGAACGCCAUUGCGCUCGGUUUUGUGUCAUGUCCUCCGUUAGAUCCAAGUACUCUAAGUCUUUUCUUAGAGUCUCUUCCAAAGUUUUCCUAGGUCUUCCUCUACCCCUUUGGCCCUGAACCUCUGUCCCGUAGUCACAUCUUCGAACCGGAGCGUCAGUCGGCCUUCUUUGCACAUGUCCAAAUCAUCGGAGCCGAUUUUCUCUCAUCUUUCCUACAAUUUCGGCUACUCCUACUUUACCUCGGAUAUCCUCAUUCCCAAUCUUAUCCUUUCUCGUGUGCCCACACAUCCCACGAAGCAUCCUCAUCUCCGCUACACCCAUUUUGUGUACGUGUUGAUGCUUCACCGCCCAACAUUCUGUGCCAUACAACAUCGCUGGCCUUAUUGCCGUCCUAUAAAAUUUUCCCUUGAGCUUCAGUGGCCUACGACGGUCACACAACACGCCGGAUGCACUCUUACACUUCAUCCAUCCAGCUCGUAUUCUAUGGUUGAGAUCUCCAUCUAAUUCUCCGUUCUCUUGCAAGAUAGAUCCUAGGUAGCGAAAAACGGUCGCUUUUUGUGAUCUUCGCUAGAUUGCUCCGGUCAUUAGUGUGGAUAAGUAUAUAAAUGGAUAGAGAUAGGAAAGCAAACACAAGAUGUACGUGGUUCACCCAGAUUGGCUACGUCCACGGAAUAGAAGAGUUCUCAUUAAUUGUGAAGGGUUUACACAAGUACAUAGGUUCAAGCUCUCCUUUAGUGAGUACAAGUGAAUGAUUUAGUACAAAUGACAUUAGGAAAUAUUGUGGGAGAAUGAUCUCGUAAUCACGAAACUUCUAAGUAUCGGAGUGUGGUGUCGUCUUGACUUGCCUUAUCUGUCUCAUAGGUAGAUGUGGCAUCUUCUCUGGAAGUACUCUUCCUCCAUCCAGGGGUGGUAUCUUUAACUGGUGGAGAUGCACAAGGUAAUGUAUCAAUUUCACUUGAAGCUUACUUGUAGUCUCAGGCUUGGUCAAGCGCGAUACAAACCAUGUAGUAGGAGUCCCCCAAGUCGCCGAGCUAGGGGGUCUGCUGAAAGAGGUGACAGACAAGGUAAGCAAUCAGAGCUCCGACUGAUUGUUCACCUUCUCCCCAUCUUGCAGCAGCAUGAAGGAUAAAGAGAAGAAAAAUGAGAAGAGAUGAUAUGAGAUACUUUUGCUUUUGAAGAAGUAACUUUCCACAGGCUUAUUCUUGAACUGAGCUGGAGGGUUUUCUGGUUUCCUCCAGAGUAUAAGGCCGACUGAAGAAUUUGAGGGUCAAAACAAGUCCAUCAAAUCUAGAGUACGUUCCACCCUGCUGAUAUGGGAUACUUUUGCUUUUGACAGAGUAAUAGAUGUAUCGGCACGUGUGCUGUUACGCUUGUCUCCACAUGCUUCCUUGUAUCCUUCGCACUUGCCCUAUCUGUUCCUCAAGCAGAUGCGGAAUCUUCCCUGGAAACAUAAGAUGUUGAAGAUGAGUACUCGAGAGCAAUGCCAGGUAAGUAAUCAGGUAAGGGGUUCCAGGCAGUCAGUUCCUGGCUGGAAGCUUGAUUCCAAGUGCUGACUGAUUGCUCUCUUUCUCCUUGUCUUGCAGGUAAAAACAAGGCAAAAGGAAAAGACAGAGAAAAAGCAUGAUAUGGGAUACUCUUGCUUUUAACCCUGAUGAUAUGAGAUAUUCUUGCUCUAGUAUAGCUUGUUUGCAGAGGUAUUAUCGGGGGGAAAGAAAGCUGAAUAUUUCGAAAGGCUUCGUUGGGAGUGCCCUCUCAGAUAUGAUGAAGGGUUGAGCAUUUUUGCAGGUCUGCCUGUCCGUUAGGGAUGGAGGUCGACAUAUAUAGGAGUCUCCCUAACAACAAGUAAUAAUGUUAUUCCUUUACCCUGCUUGGUCAUAGCACGGUAGUGGGAGCUGCCAGUUUCACAUGUUUUAACUCUGUCAGAGCACUUUGAAAAAGUGGUCUGUGGUAUCUGGCUCUCGAGAUUCGGAGAACGAUGCCUCUUCGAUUUUUGAGAAAGCAAUCAUGCUGGGGGUCUGGCUCUCGAGAUUCGUAGAGCAGUGUCUCUUCGAUUUUUGAGGAAGUAAUCAUGUUGGGAGUCUGGCUCUCGAGAUUCGGAGGGCGGUGCCUCUUCGAUUUUGGAGCAAGCAAUCCUGUUGGGAGUGUUGUCUCGAAUGUGAGUAAAGGUUGGGCAUGUUUGCUAGUCUACCUUGCCACGAAGCACAAAGGUUGACACACAGGGACUUUCCAAUUAUCCAGCAAUGGUACUGUUCCUUUACCCUCUCUUCGCUUUUGAGAAAGUAGUCAUGUUGGGAGUCUGGCUCUCGAGAUUCGGAGGACGGUGCCUCUUCGAUUUUGGAGCAAGCAAUCUUGUUGGGAGUGUUUUCUCGAAAGUGAGUAAAGGUUGGGCAUGUUUGCUAGUCUACCUUGCCACGAAGCACAGAGGUUGACACACAGGGACUUUCCAAUUAUCCAGCAGUGGUACUGUUCCUUUACCCUUGUGGGUAAUAAUAUGGUAGCUAGACCUUCAAAAUUUAUGUGUCUAAAACUUUGUUAGUGCUGUUUCUUUGCUAUUCUUUUACCUUUCUUGGUCAGAGCGAUGUAGUGGGAGCUGCAAGCUUCACGUGCUCAACUUUGGCAGAGAACUUUGGCAAAGUUAUUUGUGGUACCCAUGAGCUAUUGUUGCGUGUGGGAAGUGGGUGAUUGAACAGUAAGAUUCAUGUGCUUUCUACUUCACCAGAAGCCUUCGACAGAAUGCCCAUAAUUUCUGCAAAGCUGAGUGUGCGUGUGUGACAGGUGUUGAUAAGGCUAGAAAAGUAGGUGUCUCUUCGAUUUCUGAGAUCGGCCCUCGUGGUCUCUGAGCAGCCCAGCUUUUGAGAAAGCGAGCGCCUCUUCGAUUGAUUCGGAGAACGAUGCCUCAUCGAUUUUUGAGAAAGCAAUCAUGCUGGGGGUCUGGCUCUCGAAGAUUCGGGGAGCAGUGUCUCUUCGAUUUUUGAGAAAGUAAUCACGUUGGGAGUCUGGCUCUCGAGAUUCGGAGGGCGGUGCCUCUUCGAUUUUGGAGCAAGCAAUCUUGUUGGGAGUGUUUUCUCGAAUGUGAGUAAAGGUUGGGCAUGUUUGCUAGUCUACCUUGCCACGAAGCACAGAGGUUGACACACAGGAACUUUCCAAUUAUCCAGCAAUGGUACUGUUCCUUUACCCUCUCUUCGAUUUUUUAAGAAAGUAGUCAUGUUGGGAGUCUGGCUCUCGAGAUUCGGAGGACGGUGCCUCUUCGAUUUUGGAGCAAGCAAUCUUAUUGGGAGUGUUUUCUCGAAUGUGAGUAAAGGUUGGGCAUGUUUGCUAGUCUACCUUGCCACGAAGCACAGAGGUUGACACACAGGGACUUUCCAAUUAUCCAGCAGUGGUACUGUUCCUUUACCCUUGUGGGUAAUAAUAUGGUAGCUAGACCUUCAAAAUUUAUGGGUCUAAACUUUGUUAGUGCUGUUUCUUUGCUAUUCUUUUACCCUUCUUGGUCAGAGCGAUGUAGUGGGAGCUGCAAGCUUCACGUGCUCAACUUUGGCAAAGAACUUUGGCAAAAGUUAUCUGUGGUACCCAUGAGCUAUUGUUGCGUGUGGGAAGUGGGUGAUUGAACAGUAAGAUUCAUGUGUUUUCUACUUCCCCAUAAGUCUUCGACAGAAUGCCCAUAAUUUCUGCAAAGCUGAGUGUGCGUGUGACGGGUGCUGACAAGGCUGGAAAAGUAGGUGCCUCUUCGAUUUCUGAGAUCGGCCCUCGUGGUCUCUAAGGAGCCCAGCUUUUGAGAAAGCGAGCGCCUCUUCGAUUUCUGAGAUCGGCCUUCGUGGUCUUUGAGCAGCCCAACUUUUGAGAAAGCAAACGCCUCUUCGAUUUCUGAGAUCAACCCUCGUGAUCUCUAAGCAGCCCAGCUUUUGAGAAAGCAAACGCCUCUUCGAUUUCUGAGCAGGCGCCUCUUCGCUUUCUGAAGCUCCGUCGAGUGCAGAUUUUUAUAGAGGCUGGCAUUAAGUUCCAAAGCACACUUGAAUCUCCACCAGUAGAAGCUUCAUUCUUGCACUUCUAAGAUCUUGAUUUGUCCGACCUCUUCUCUCUUCAACACCUUGGAAAAUGUCUGGCCCCUCCGACCGUCGUUUUGACUUGAACCUUGUUGAAGAGGCAGCCCCGCCUUCUCCAGACAACAUAUGGCGCCCAUCCUUCGUCUCCCCUACUGGUCCUCUUACCGUUGGGGAUUCCGUGAUGAAGAAUGAUAUGACCGCUGCGGUGGUGGCCAGGAACCUUCUCACUCCCAAAGAUAACAGACUACUUUCCAAACGGUCUGAUGAGUUAGCUGUUAAGGAUUCGCUGGCUCUCAGUGUUCAGUGUGCAGGUUCUGUGUCUAAUAUGGCCCAACGCCUAUUUGCUCGAACCCGCCAAGUUGAAUCCUUGGCGGCUGAAGUGAUGAGUCUCAAACAGGAGAUUAGAGGGCUCAAGCAUGAGAAUAAACAGUUGCAUCGGCUCGCACAUGACUAUGCUACAAACAUGAAGAGGAAGCUUGACCAGAUGAAGGAAACUGAUGGUCAGGUUUUACUUGAUCAUCAGAGAUUUGUGGGUUUGUUCCAAAGGCAUUUAUUGCCUUCGUCUUCUGGGGCUGUACCGCGUAAUGAAGCUCCGAAUGAUCAACCUCUGAUGCCUCCUCCUUCUAGGGUUCUGUCCAGUACUGAGGCUCCAAAUGAUCCCCCUCCGGUGCCUUCUCUUUCUGGGGCUCUACCGACUGCUGAGACUUCUCCUAAGCAACCUUUGUGAAGGCUCCAUCUUGUGUGUUUAUUUUGACUCAUGUAUAUGUACAUAUUUGUAGCUGAUCGGGGAUAUCAAUAAAUAAGCUUUCCUUCAUUUCAACGUAUUGUGUUAAAUACACCAAAGCCUUCUUCGCUAAGUUCUUUGAAUUUUCUUUUGUUGAAGCUUGUAUGUUGAAGCUUUCUGAGUGGAGCAUGUAGGUUGGGGUAGUGUUCCCUUAAUUUCCCGAGUGAGGAAAACUUCUCGGUUGGAGACUUGGAAAAUCCAAGUCACUGAGUGGGAUCGGCUAUAUGAAUCUUAGAACGCCAUUGUGUGCUCGAUCCUGUGUCAUGUCCUUCGUUAGAUCCAAGUACUCUAAGUCUUUUCUUAGAGUCUCUUCCAAAGUUUUCCUAGGUCUUCCUCUACCCCUUCGGCCCUGAACCUCUGUCCCAUAGUCGCAUCUUCUAAUCGGAGCGUCAGUAGGCCUUCUUUGCACAUGUCAACAUGUCCAAACCACCGUAACCGAUUUUUCUCUCAUCUUUCCUUCAAUUUCGGCUACUCCUACUUUACCCCGGAUAUCCUCAUUCCUAAUCUUAUCCUUUCUCGUGUGCCCACACAUCCAACGAAGCAUCCUCAUCUCCGCUACACCCAUUUUGUGUACGUGUUGAUGUUUCACCGCCCAACAUUCUGUGCCAUACAGCAUCGCCGGCCUUAUUGCCGUCCUAUAAAAUUAAUAAAAUAAAAAUUUCACCUAUAAUAUCACAUUAUAUAGUCCAAUACCUGAGAUGAAUCAGCAACAGAUGCCAAAGCAGUCAAGGCACCCUCUUGUACCAUUUGUUUUCCAUUCUGCAUGAAACGUGAAAAAUCAGACACAAGUAAAAUGUACUAGUUCAAAAGCAUGUAAUUAAGUACAAUUUUACAUCAUGAAUAAGGUGUUUGUAUAUAUAUACAUAAUCUUGGGAAGCAUUACCUGCAGAAGUACUAGCAAUUUGCUCACCACUCCAUCCAAAUACGGUGUUAAAAUAUCCGGAGUGCAAUUCUCACUGAAAUUCAGCAUUGCUGAAGCAGCACGUGCCUGCAGAUAACAAAUUACAAAAAAGGAAGCAAUGAAUAGAUAAUCUUGCACGUUUAGUUACAUGAUCUUGAUAACGAGCUGAGUAAAGCACAUUCACAAACGACCACUAUUCUCCAAAUUCAGAAAAUAAAGAACCUCAAAUGGAGGAUAGCUUGCAACUAUGGACACCAAUGAUAGCUCACAAUUCACAACAAAAUCCCAACGAUUAGUUUUCAACUGUACUUUUCAAAAAGUCCAUACUUAAACGGAAAUUCAUUAACUAGAAAGCUGCACAAAAGUACUUUAUAGCUGUACUAUUCACUUAUUUAAGGAUAUAAAAGUGCCCCCUCGGAAACUGCAUUGUAGGAAUAUACAAUUGCUUAUGCGCAAACAUCUUACAUAAGCGUAUUGUAUAUGUCCUGAAAGCCUAUCCAAACAUUCCUGCCUUUUCUCUCACUUUCUCUCUCUAGACUUUUGAAUCAAAUCAAAAGUCGGGAUUUUUGGGGAGUUUAGGGGUGCGGGGGAUUAAAGUAGGAGCGGGAGCAGAGGAGUGGGGCUCCUAAAUAAAGGAAGAAAUGCAAGGAAUUAUCCAAUGGAUGAUUAGCUGGGCGUGGGUCAGUGAUCAAUCAUGAUUUAUGACUAUAAUUUUCCCACCAAAUUUAUUUUUGGAGGGAAGGGAGAAGGGACUCAUUUUUUCUUCUUUAAUAUGGUAUAAAAUCAUAAGAAAACUAAUAAAAAAUAUUUGAAAAUUUUGAGUUUUAACAAAAAUGACAAAAUAAAUUAUAAAGUUAAUAGUAUCAGGAUUGAUUUUUAUGGGUAAAAAUGUGUUUUUUCGUUAAAAUAAACAGUACCUAAAUUUUCUUAUGAUUUUAUACCAUAUUAAAGAAGAAAAAAUGAAAAAAUAAAUUAUAAAGUUAAUAGUAUCAUGAUUGAUUUUUAUGGGUAAAAAUGUGUUUUUUCGUUAAAAUAAACAGUACCUAAAUUUUCUUAUGAUUUUAUACCAUAUUAAAGAAGAAAAAAUGACAAAAUAAAUUAUAAAGUUAAUAGUAUCAUGAUUGAUUUUUAUGGGUAAAAAUGUGUUUUUUUAUUAAAAUAAACAGUACCUAAAGUGUUUUGUUAAAGUUUUCAAAAAUCAUAUCUUGAAAUUUUAUUAAUUACCAAAAAAUAAAAUUUCUGUGGAAAAUAGUUGGGCCAACCAGUUUAUAAAGCAAAAGCCCAACUUCUUCAUGCCGUCCUCCUAAUACUGAAUUUUUAAUUGUUUUCCCUUUUUUCAACAAAGCAAAACAAUAUUUUGAGUUAAAAAGGAAAAGAUUUCUAAACUCUUGGCAACUUGUCAAUGGUUUUAGUGGCUUAUUCUCCAUUUAAGUAUUUCUUGAGUGGAGAUAUUUUUAUUUCCACGUAGUAUUUCUUGAGUCGAAGAUCUCAAAGCAACAACAAUAUUUGCUCUCUUCUUUAUUUUCCUUUUUGUUCUUCUAAUUUUUUGAAUCUCUGAUUCGAAUUUGUUUGCUUUUUUAUUGGAGGGGGUUUCCCAACGUGAGUUUCCUUGUUUUUUCAAUCUCUUUUUCCCUGCCUGUAACGAUGGAAAAUUGGCGCCUCAAGCAUUGCUGAAUACGCAUAUAGUUUCCAAUCGGUUUGUUUUUCUUUUUUUCUUUUUCAGAUUGAAAUGGAAAUGGAAAUGGAACUGGUGAGGAGGAAGCACAGGAGAUUGGGCCACUGCUGCAAGAACAACGGAAGGCUGGUGGAGCUCCCCACCGAAAUUCUUUACGACAUCCUUUUGAGGCUGCCAAUAAGCUCUAUUUUUUGCCUCCGAUGUGUCUCCAAGACUUCAAAAAACAGAGUCGACUGCCCGUGUUUUUGUACAUUGCACACGCGAUGUUUACUUUCUGCGGAAGCUGCUGCAUCAUCUGUUGCUUCUAACCAAGCACCCCUGAUUUUGAUUCUUGAUCACUUCACCUCUAGAUUGGAUUCUGGAUAUGCCUUCAUGCCACUGAAAUUCAAAUAUGAUGGCAGCAACGUUACCUUUGUUAGGAAUGUCGGUACUACAAGAUAGAGAAUGCACAAGGUAAAGUAGAAAAUGGACGCCAAGAAUUUAUGUGGUUCGGCAAUUUAUGUCUACGUCCACCAAACAAGGAAUCUUCACUAUAUGAAAAAGAUGAAUACAACAAGAGUAGUCUUACCAAGCCAAAGACAAGGCUUGAUGGAUACAAGAAAGUAUAACACACACUUUCUAUCACUCUAAACUUCACUCACACAAUGUGUAGUGGAACACUCUCACUCUCACUCUUGGAGUGGAACUCUAGCUUUGGACUUGAUCCUUUGCUACUCACUCUUCUCUUGAUUUGUUGGUUCACUACAACAUCACACCCAUAUUUAUAGGUGAGGGUUUGGCAUUCUACUAGUUUCUAGUGUAUUCUUCAAACCUCUAGCAUAGAAAGAUCUAGACUAGCCACAAAAGUGUGGCUUCUAGAUCUUUCCAUUUGCAACCAAGGAAGCUAGUACUCUCUAGCUUCUUCCAUCAACUUAAUAACAUGCUAGAAUUGUCUAGCAUGCUCCAGCCAUCUCUCUUGCUUACUAGAAUAAUCUAGAACAUUGAUCAUGGGCUGGACCAUAUACCAACAAUCUCCCCCUCCAGUCCAUGAGGGAGGAAUUCCGAUCAUGACUCCAAGUUACCUGGAAUCCAUCCCAGCAGCCUUAAUGCAGAAUUCCAACUUUGAUUUUGUGACCACCUUUGUCAACAUGUCUGAAGAAUUAUUAUCGGUAUGAAUCUUCUUCAGCUGUGUAGCAUCUUGUUCUCGAUAGCAUCUCUAAUCCAGUGAUAACGAAUAUCAAUGUGCUUGGUGCGUGAAUGGUAUGCAGUGUUCUUGCUCAAAUCCAGAGCACUCUGACUAUCACAAUAAACGCCAUAAUCACUUUGCUUCAAACCCAACUCUUGGAGAAACCGCUUCAGCCACAACAACUCCUUGCAUGCUUCUGUAGCGGCUAUGUAUUCAGCCUCGGUUGUAGACAAAGCAACACACUUUUGCAACUUGGAUUGCCAAGACACGGCUCCCCCUGCAAAAGUAAACAAGUACCCAGACGUAGAUUUUCUACCAUCCAGGUCACCUCCCAUGUCAGCAUCUGUAAAUCCUUCCAAGAUUGGUUUGGAACCGCCAAAGCACAAGCACAUCUUAGAAGUCCCCUUCAAAUAUCUGAGAAUCCACUUAACAGCUUCCCAAUGGUCUUUCCCUGGAUUAGAGAGAAACCUGCUCACCACACCUACUGCAUGAGCAAUAUCUGGCCGUGUGCACACACCAUUGCAUACAUGAUACUUCCUACUGCUGAAGAGUAGGGAACAACUGCCAUUUUUCUCCUUUUCUUCAUAUGUUUUUGGACACGACUCUUUGCUCAACUUGAUAUGAUUGGCUAAAGGUGAGCUUACCGAUUUGGCUGCUUUCAUGUUGAACCUUUCAAGCACCCGUUCAACAUACUUUUCUUGUGACAGCCACAACUUCUUGGAUUUUCUGUCACGAAUUAUCUCCAUGCCCAAAAUCUGCUUGGCUGACCCUAAGUCCUUCAUGUCAAAGGACUUAGAUAACUCUUCUUUGAGCUUUUUAAUCAUAAAAGCAUCUUGACCGACAAUCAACAUGUCAUCAACAUAAAGCAACAAAAUGAUGAAUUUACCUCCAGAAAAUUGUUUGAUAUAGACACAAGAGUCAGCAUGAGUUCUCUUGUACCCAUUACUCACCAUGAAUGAGUUGAACUUCUUAUUCCACUGUCUCGGAGCCUGCUUAAGACCAUAUAAGCUUUUCUUGAGCUUGCACACCAAAGUUUCUUUACCCUUGACUUCAAAGCCUUUGGGUUGCUCCAUAUAUAUCUCCUCUUCUAAGUUACCGUGGAGAAAUGCAGUUUUAACGUCUAACUGCUCGAGCUCAAGAUCCAUGCUUGCUGCCAUACCAAGGAUAACUCGAAUGGAAGUCAUCUUCACCACCGGUGAGAAAAUCUCAUCAAAGUCAACUCCUUUCUUUUGACCAAAACCUUUGACAACCAAACGAGCCUUGUACCUUGUCAUGUUGUCGUCAUUUUUCAAUUUGAACACCCCACUUGUUUUUCAGUGCUUUUCUGCCCUUUGGAAGCUCCACCAGCUCAUAGGUAUUAUUCUUUAAUAAGGAAUCCAUCUCUGACUCCAUUGCCUUCAUCCAUUUAUCACUGUCGUUAUGAGCUCUGGCCUCCUCAUAAGUUUCGGGCUCUCCAUAAUUAGUCAACAUGAUAUACUCUGAUGAAGAAUACUUGGUAGACGGUCUUCGACUUCUGCUGGAUCUUCUGACCUGAUCUUCAUUCUCUUGCGGGGCUAGAGGCUCCCCCUGAUUGGAUUCUCCUUGAAUCUGCUCUUCUUGACUAGGCUCCCCCUGAUCAGCAAUCUCAUGGUCUGGCACAUCUUGAUCAGGCUCCUCUUGAUCAGCAUUAUCUGAUUCUGCAGGCACUUCAUUGACAGUUGCUUCAGGGAUGUCAUCGUGACUUUCUUCAUCUGAAGCUAAUGGAUCAACUCCUCUGACUGCGCCAUCUGGUUGUGCCUCUUUAUCCGAAUCCCCAAUUGUUUGAUCUUCAUAAAAGACCACGUCUCUACUUCGGAUAAACUUCUUCUGGUAUGGGUCCCAUAAUCUGUAACCAAAAUCUUCACCGCCAUAACCAAGAAAGAUGCACGGUAUAGCUUUGUAGUCUAACUUCGAUCUCUGCUCUUUGGGCACAUGCACAAAAGCUUUGCAACCAAACACCUUCAGAUGAGAGUAAGACACAUUAUUACCAGUCCAUACUCUCUCUGGAACAUCAAGACCUAAUGGUACUGAUGGAGAUCGGUUGAUCAAAUAGCAGGCUGUCCUUACAGCUUCACCCCAGAACUGCUUAGAUAACUUUGCAGUCCUCAACAUACACUUGACUUUCUCCAUGAUGGUUCGGUUCAUUCUUUCAGCAACACCGUUAUGUUGUGGAGUUCCAGGAACUGUCUUCUCAUGACGUAUGCCAUGUUUUACACAAUACUCUCUAAACUGGUGAGAUGUGUACUCGCCGCCGUUGUCGCUACGAAGACACUUGAGAGGUUUUCCAGUUUCCCUCUCCACCAUGGCAUGGAACUCCUGGAAUGUCUGAAACACCUGGUCUUUGGAUUUCAACAAAUACACCCACACCCUUCGUGAAGCAUCAUCAAUAUAAGUAACAAAAUAUUUAUUUCUUCCAAGUGACUCGACUUCCAUGGGACCACACACAUCUGAAUAAACAAGAUCUAACAAGUUUCCUUUCUUUGUAGAUGAAACAGAAAAACUAACUCUUCUUUGUUUUCCGAAUAAACAAUGCUCACAAGAGUUUAACGACGUACCUUUUGGCAAAGGGAAUAUGAGACUUCUUUGCCAAAACUUGUAGGCCUUUCUCGCUCAUGUGGCCUAGCCUCUUAUGCCACAAGUCUAGAGAUGAGUCUUCCACAGCAUUCAACUCACCUUUCAAAACCUUGGCAUUUGACCGGUACAACGUACAACAAAGUCGUGCUCUUGCUACCACCAUUAAGCCUUUAGUAAGCUUCAAUUUUCCUUCGCCAAUAUGGUGAUAAUAUCCUUGUCGAUCAAGGGUACCGAUGGAUAUCAGAUUGAGACGUAUAUCAGGAAUAUGUCUCACAUCUUUCAACAUCAAUUGGCAGCCGAGAUUAGUUCUUAAGCAGAUAUCACCAAUUCCAAGAAUUUUGGAAUAGCUUUCAUUCCCCAUCUUCACUAUGCCAAAGUCACCUUCUUUGUAUGUACUGAAGAACUCCCGUUUGGACGUAGCAUGGAAGGAAGCUCCAUUAUCAAAGAUCCAUUCAAUGUCUCUGUCAGAGUUGCCCAUAUGCAGACAUUCACCAACAGACAAUAUUUCUGGUACAUCACCACAUAUGACAGCGGUGGUAUUGCCAGUAUCAUCUUUCUUCUGAUUGUUUCCUUCCCUUUGCUCUCUCUUCCAAACUCGACAAUUUUUCUUCAUAUGGCCUUCUUUGCCACAAUGGUGGCAUGCACCCCUGAACCUUGACUUGGAUCGGCUAGGACUCCUGCCAUGACCUCUAGGCCCUCUACUCUUGCUUCUUCCGCGAUUCUCUGUGACAAAUACUUGGCUGCUAUCUGUGCCAGAAGUCUUUUCUCCUUGUUUCUUCAUUGAGCAUGCUAUUUUUAACAUUAUCAAGAGUAAGAACACCAUUAGAAGCAGAGUUACUUAUACUCACCACAAAGGUCUCCCAACUGUCUGGCAAGGAUCCAAGUAACAAGAGCGCUUGUAGCUCGUCCUCGAUCGUCAUUUUCAUAGUAGCCAACUGGUUGAUGAUAUUCUGGAAAUUGUUCAAGUGUUCUGCUACACUUAAACCAUCCUUGUACUUCACAUUGAUGAGCUCUUUGAUCAAGAAGGCUUUCUUGGCUGGGGUCUUCUUCUCGAACAAGGACUCAAGCUUCGUCCAAAACUCGCGAGCAUUGGUUUCAUUAGACACAUGGUGAAAAACACUAUCAUCCACCCAUUGUCUAAUUGUGCCAAUAGCCUUGCGAUUCAUCUUCUUCCACUCGGCAUCGGACAUGCUCUCGGGCUUAGCGGCAUCUCCUUCAAUUGGCUCAUGCAAAUCCUUGCAAUAGAGAAUGUCAUUCAUCCUUGGCUUCCAUGUUACCCAAUUGGAGUUGGUGAGUUUGAUCAUAGUGCCACUUCCUUCCAUCUCGUAGUACGAGCCAACCGGGCUCUGAUACCAUUUGUUAGGAAUGUCGGUACUACAAGAUAGAGAAUGCACAAGGUAAAGUAGAAAAUGGACGCCAAGAAUUUAUGUGGUUCGGCAAUUUAUGCCUACGUCCACCAAACAAGGAAUCUUCACUAUAUGAAAAAGAUGAAUACAACAAGAGUAGUCUUACCAAGCCAAAGACAAGGCUUGAUGGAUACAAGAAAGUAUAACACACACUUUCUAUCACUCUAAACUUCACUCACACAAUGUGUAGUGGAACACUCUCACUCUCACUCUUGGAGUGGAACUCUAGCUUUGGACUUGAUCCUUUGCUACUCACUCUUAGUUCUCUAUUGGUUACAUCACACCCAUAUUUAUAGGUGAGGGCUUGGCAUUCUACUAGUUUCUAGUUCCUUCUUCAAACCUCUAGUAUAGAAAAAUCUAGACUAGCCACAAAAGUGUGGCUUCUAGAUCUUUCCAUUUGCAACCAAGGAAGCUAGUACUCUCUAGCUUCUUCCAUCAACUUAAUAACAUGCUAGAAUUGUCUAGCAUGCUCCAGCCAUCUCUCUUGCUUACUAGAAUAAUCUAGAACAUUGAUCAUGGGCUGGACCAUAUACCAACAACCUUGACUAUAAGCAAACAUGCCAUUGUCUCCGAGAUUAGGUCCACUUCGUUGAAUGUUAAUUAUUCUUUGGGUUUUGUUUUCUACAACUUACUUUUCUUUGUCGAUUUUUCUCAUCGUUAUCCGGAGUGCAAGAGGAUGAAUCGAAGUCCAUGCUUCUUAUUCAAUCCUCUAAAGGGGGAAGUUCUUCCGCUCCCAACAACUGAUAUCGUAAUUCCAGAGCGUCCUCAAACAUUUUUCCACUUCAAGGAAUGGUUUGCUAUGGGAUUUGACGAUGCAACCAACACGUACAAGAUUGUUCGUGUCUUUGAGCAUCUAUAUUCGUUAACAUUUAAGGUGAGGGCCCAAGUUUAUGUACUGGGCACAAGCUCAUGGCGAGAGAUACCCUCGAUUCCUCCUCGUAGGUUAGGCAAAACCAAUCAUGCAGCAUUUGCAAAUGGAGACCAACAUUGGUUGGUUUGCUUACCUGAUGGCCCAAUUCAUAUUUAUGGAGGAAAAUUCGGUAUAUGUUCCUUUGACUUCAAGAAAGAGGAAUUCUAUUGGACUCUUACUCCUCCCGAGCACAUGCAAAAGUAUGUUUGGCCCAUUGGUGUCCCAGAUCACCUUUACUUGCUUACUCUGAAAGGAUGUUAGGCCAUUGUGGACACUUCGUCAAAUGACUAUAUAGAGAUAUGGGUGUUGCACGAUUCUGAUAAGGAGUGGAAGCUAGAGUGGAAGAUAGAUGCUCCUUUACUCGGACGUAAGCUUGUUAAUGUUUCCUGUUGUGAAUGGGAGCAUGGCAUAUUCUUCACUAGACAAGAGUGUUAUAGAUAUUUUGGGCUUACAGUCUUUUUGAAUUUCAGAAGUGGCACCGUGAAUUGUGUAAAAUCAUGCCCACCUGAGACCAUCGACGAGGUUACAAGCAUCGUCAGUGUUACUGGGACUUUGAUUUCUCUAAAAAAUUAUGGGCAUUUGGUUGAACCCGAACCAACUACUGGAAUCAUCAGGUCCUUAAGACAUUAUGAUUCCCAAUCAUUGUCGAAUGCAGCUGCAAGCGGGAAGGAUUUCUUUUACUUGACAAGUAGCGUGAGGGGGCUGUAUGGUUGACGGUCUCAAUUUCUCUAAACUUUUAUUUCAUUUUCAUGUAUCUCAAUUUGAACAUUUUCCUUUCUUAUAUGUAUUUUAUUUUGAAUGACUUGUCAUGAUCUUGUUAUCACUUUUUAGCAGAAUACAUAUUUUCUCUAUUGUGAUAUCUCUGUCUCUAGAUUUAAGUUGGCUUACAAAACCGUGGUCUAAAAAUGAUGAUUACGUAUAAAUGUCAGUUUCCGACAACCCCGUCUGAGGUUCUUUCAGAACCUCUAUACUAUAUAUAAGCUGACUCAAUUGAGGCCAUUCCAUAUUCAACAAAUCAUAAACCAUCUUCUUUUGGUUUAAAGCUUUACAUGCUUGUUAUUUAGUUCUCGUUGGCAAGUUCAUGUACAAAGCAUCUGCCUGCGCUGUAAACCUAAACCUUGUGAGUGCAGACUGUUGAUCUGAAAGCUUUGGACUGGACCUUUGGUACAACAAGUUUAUGCAUGCUUGCGGUCUGAAUGUUCUCACUAGUUUUUUUUUUUUUUACUUUAAUAAAAAAUUACAUUUUUAUACUAAAAAGUUGAUCCUGAUACUAUUCACUUUAUCAUUUAUUUUAUUUUUAUCGUUAAAACUCAAAGUCCUAAUCCUUUUCAUUAGUUUUUUUUUCCUCUUGUAAACAAUGGGGGCUAAACACCCCGAAAAAAUGACUCAGAUCUCUGUCUAGAAAUACCAGAAAGAUUAUCCAUAUAUAAAGAUAGGGUAUGGCUCGGAUUAGCCGACGUUCAUAUUUCCUUAAAAUUGCCAAAUCACUUUGAGCAUCUCAAAAGCUUUAAGUGGUACUAUGUUUGUUUGGAUGAGAUAAAUAAACUUGGAAUUUAGAUUAAAGUAAAAAUUUAUAAAUUGACAUGCAUCAAUUCUCUUGUUUGGAUUCAUAAACAUAGAAAUAUAGAAUUUCCGCAUGGAAAAAAAACUUGAAAUUUGUGACCUCCAAUUCCCAAGUUUAAAUUCUAUGUAAAUAAUUAUCAUUUUCCAAUUUCUAUAAUUGAGAGUUUAAAAACAACAAAUUAUAUAUUCAAUUCUAUCGUUCUUUUAUGUUACCUAAACAAGAAAAUUCACAAAUUUUAUAAAAUAAAAUUUCAUCAUUUCAAUUUCUAUUAUUUUAAAAUUCCUUAGUACUCUUAAACUUGUUCAUUUAAACAUAGUGUAAGAUUUAAUAAGAAAAAGCCUAUAUGAUGAAAAUAAAUUUGCCUCACAUUCCAGUCACGGACAAAAUAUCUGGCGGUACCAGGAUUUAGUUCCCCUUCAAGAUCUUGCAGAUAUGUAAACCACAUUGAUUUGCCAGUCUUCCCAAUAAGCUUCUCGGACUCCUUGUUUGCAGCUUCCAAAUCAGCCUCGAGAGCUUUAACUGUCUCUUUGGUCCACCUCUCAUGUUCCAUAUUCUUUUUCAUUAAAAAAAAAAGAAAAAAAAAACUAUUUUAUGAGAUGUAUUCAAUUGAGAAUUUGAGAGAAUUUAGUGGAUUUAUAAAUCCAUGGAUUUUUGUGGAGUUUAAUUGAUUUGUAGAGAUUCCAUAUAAAAUUUUGAUUCAAUUCUCUCGAAAUCUCACGAGGAGAUGUGAGAUUUGUUGAUACUUAAAAUACACUACCAAAUAUCUCCAAAUCCUUUUAAUUCCUCAACUUUCUCAAAUUCUUUAAAAUCAAUUUUUAAUUGAAUACACCUGAAAUGUUAAACUUUUUUUAAAAUCCUAAUUGAAUACACUCGGAUUUCUAAGGAUUUUAAUAAACUAUCUUAAAAUUCUAAUUGAAUAGACCUUGAAUUUCAGAUAAUCAUUUAAAAUCUUAAUUGAAUAUCACUAGAUUCAUUAAAAGAAUUGAAAUCCCUUAAAAUCUCAAUUGAAUACAUUCUCCUUAAAUUAUUUUAAAACUUUAAGGGCAUUAUUUCAUUUUGAAGUUAACCGUUGCUUAAUAUUACUGUAUAUUAGUAUUCAUUUUUAAUUGUAAGUAAGAGGUUUUAGGUUCAAUUCUCGUAAAAAACGAAUUUGAAACACAUCAUUACUGGCCUAUUGUGAGGCUAAACCUACUCCUCUCCUUCCUUUUACUCCCAGUUUAUUGCCUCCACCAGUCCACCUCCACGACCAACCACCAUCAUAAAAUCAAAGAAUUGGUUUCUCAAGGUAAUUCCUAAACCCUAAUCUCAGUUAAUUUCGUGCUAUUCCUUCAUCACAAUUUCUUGAUUUCUGACCUUAGAAUUGCAUAACUUGUGUUCUGGAAUGUUUCUUGUAAUUGAAAAACCCGAUAACUUUCCGGUUAUAGAAUUCCGAUCUUGGUUUGUUUUUCUCGUUUUUCAGAGAGUUAUGUUGUGGGGUUUGGUCGUGAACUUUUUAUAUGUAAUACUGUAGCUUGGCAGCCAUGUUUGAUAAUUUUGAAUUCUGGUUUUAUUUUUGUUCAUCCACAACGAUCCUGGAAGAAGCAACAGAUAAGAGAGGAAAGGAGAGAAUGUGCACAAGAGUAGAAAUUUUUUAGUGUGCCGCUAACACGACCUUACACCAAGUUUCAAAACAAGGCGGGUAAGGAGAGUCUAGCAUUUCGCUUUUUUAUUUAUUUAUUUAUUUUAUUUUAAUAAUAGAAACGAUAUCGUUUUAAUAUCAAAUGAAAAGGAUAUACAAUUGGGAAAGGAAGAAAAACAUUAUCUCGCAUAUCCUCCCUGCAUCUAUCAUUCAGCUUAUUCUAAAAUGCGGAUUCCUUUAUCAUUUUCGAAACCAAAGUUGGGGCUGUUUUGAAUAGGUAGGCUUUAUUUAUUUAAAUUUUUUCGAUUUUUUUGUAUGUGUGUUUCCAAUUGCGAUUUGGGGUGGGAUUUAUAUAAUUGCUGUAAGUUUUUCUUUCCCUUGUGUGCUGCUGGCUGAGAUUAAAAGAAGAAAAAUGAUAAGUUUAUCUUUUUCAGCGAUGUGGUUUCUAAUCCGAUACGAUUUGACGUUUCUUUCAGAUUGAAAUUGAAAUAUGGAGAAGCUCAAGACCUUAAGACAGCCUUAGCACACAAGUCAGUGAUCAGCACCCAAAGAUAACAAAACAAAACUUGAGACAGAGAUCUUUGAUCUGAUCGGUGGGGUAAUGGAGAUGGCAAGGAGCCAGCAGAGAUUGAGGCCCUGCUGCAGGAAUGAUUCAAGGCUAAUGAAGCUACCCACCGAAAUCCUUGACAACAUCCAUUUGAGGCUGCCCAUAAUCUCUUUUUUUUGGCCUCCGAUGCGUCUCUAAGACCUCAAAGGGUAGAGUCGACUGCCCCAGUUUUUGUACACUGCACACGCAACGUUUACUGUCUGCGCAAGCUGCUUCAUCAUCUAUUUCUUCUAAUGCGUGUGGAUCACUUUUGCCUCUCUAAUUCUGGAUUUACCUUUAGACCAUUGCAAUUCAAAUUCAAUGGCAGCAACACCACCUUGACAUGGAGCGAACAUGCAGCUGUCUACGAGAUUAGAUCCACUUCCUUCAAUGCUUUUUAUUCUUUGGCUUCUGUUUUCUACAACUUGUUUUUCUUUCGGGAUUGCGCUUAUAAUUAUCCAGGGCGCAAGAGGAUGGAUAGCAGUCCAUGCUUCUUAUUCAAUCCUUUGAAGGGGGAAGUUCUUCCGCUCCCUACAACUGACAUCUUCAUUCCAAACUAUGAUACAAGAUAUUCCAUCAUCACGUUCGAGGAAUGGUUUGCUAUGGGGUUUGAUGAUGCAACCAACACUUACAAGAUUGUUCGUGUUUCCCGAGAUAAAAAAUCGAUGAUAUGUAAACUAGUGACCCAAAUUUAUGUAAUGGGCACAAGCUCGUGGCGAGAGAUACCCUCGGUUCCACCUUGUAAUUUAAGCGACAGCCGCGCAUUUGCAUACGGAGACCAGCAUUGGUUGGUUUGCUUUCCUGAUCCUUCACUUUCCAGUUAUGGAGGAGUAGUUAGUAUAUGUUCUUUCAACUUCAGAAAAAGAAGAGUUCUACUGGAGGACUAUUACUCUUCCCGAGCACAUGCACAAUAAGUAUGUUCGGUGCAUGAGGAUCCCACAACACCUUCAUUUGCUUAGUCUAAGAGGUUCGUUGGCCAUCGUGGGCACUUCAUCUGAUGACUGUAAUAUUGAGAUAUGGGUGUUGAAAAAUUAUGACAUGAAAGAGUGGAAUCUAGAUUACAAGAUAGAUAAGUCAGUACUCAAGCAAGUUUAGGAACUUGAUAUGUUGUGAAUGGGAGCAUGGCAUAUACUUCACUUACCCACGAUGUCAUGAAGUUUGUGAGAGCACAUUCGUUGUGGAUUUAAGAUGUGGUUCCGUGAAUCGCGUAGAAAUAUUUCCACCUAGAACCGACAUAGCAGGAAGAUUUCAAGCAUAUUGAGUUAUACUAGGACUUUGAUUUCCCUAAAAGAGUAUGGGAGUUUGGUUGAAGCUGAACCAACAACUACUGGAAGUAUUAGGUCUCUAGAACUUUAUGGUUCUAGAGAAAUCUGGGAUGAAGCUGCAAGAGGGAAGGUUUUCAUUUACUUGAAGAGUAGCGCUAAGCUCCCAUAUAGAUUUGAACGGAAAGAAGUUUCAAGAACAAUCAUUUUCUGAUUAUGUCGAUCGGUACAUAGCAUGAGUCGGAAAAUUAAUGAUAGCUUGGAGAUUUGUUGAACUUGUUGCAAUCAAGAUAGCAAAGCGUAUGCAGAAAACUAUCAAAACAGAGCACAAGGAUGCAAAAGUAACAGCAGAUGAUGUGAAAAGUAAUCUUUGGAUCUUUUUGAAAGUUGAUAUUGUCAACCCUUCCUUUGAUUCUCCAAAGGAAACUUUGACAACUCGUACACAAAAGUUGGCCAAAAUAUUUGAACUUCCGCAAGAUUUCCUAGACGAGGGUAAGCAAAUAGUAGACGGAGUAUAUACUAACCCUUUUUUCAGGUAUUUUUAUAGUGAAAACCCAACUCGCUACAAAAGGAGGGGUUCUGUUGGAAGAAUGCAUGCAAGUCAUAUCUUGUGUUAAAAUGCAUGUAUGAAAUAAACAUGUUGGAUGACUAGUGAAGUUAGGCUAGUCAACAUUCUUUGUGUAAAAUGCAUGCAUGAAAUAAACAUGUUGGAUGACUAGUGAAGUUAGGCUAGUCAACAUUCUUUGUGUAAAUUAGGCAAGUUAGGCAAGUUAGGCUUAUGUCUACUUUCUUUUCCUAUAUAUAUGUUUCAUUUGUAAUUGUUUCUUCAUGAAAUACACAUCAAAAAUUCUACAUGGUAUCAGAGCAGGUUCAUUUGUAACCUGUCUCUGCCAUUCUUGUUGCUGCAAUUUUUUCUUUCUUUCAAAGUCUAAGUCAUGACUGAAGAAAGUUCUGUGAACCAUGAUGAGGAAACCCGGCACAAUCUCUCUCCAAACUUCUCAGACGUUGAGGUUAACACCAAUCAACGUUUGUGUUCAGUUCUCUUAAACGAGUUCAAUUAUCUUCCUUGGUCCCGAGCUGUUUCACUAGCUCUCGGAGGCAAAGGGAAGUUAGGGUUUGUAAAUGGAAGCGUGGAAGCUCCAGACAGUUCUUCCUCUACAUACAAUGCAUGGCUCUGCAAAGAUCAACUUGUCAUGUCCUUACUGCUCAACACCAUGGAGAAACAUGUUGCUGAAAUUUUUUAGCUACUCCAAUUCCGCACAUGACCUUUGGAAAGCUUUGCAGGAUAUGUAUGGAAAUCAAAACAACUAUGCACGGGUCUUCCAAUUAAAGAAGGACAUUGCCAGUGCUCAACAAGAAGGGAAAACAUUUGUUCAACACCUUGGGAGCCUCAAAGCCAUGUGGAAUGAGUUGGAUGUAUAUCUCCCUCAUACCACAGAUCCUACCAUUCUCCUAAAACGAGCUGAGGAAGACAAAAUUUAUCAGCUGUUAGGGAGUUUGAGCUCUGAGUACGAGGACCUAAGGAGUCACAUCUUGAUGAGUCAAGACCUGCCUACCUUCAACAAUGUUUGUGCAACUAUCCAACGAGAAGAAGCAAGGAAGAAGGUUAUGAAUGUUGAUCACAAUCCUAGAUUAACGGAGACUCGGGCAUAUGCAUCAAAGUACAAGAACUCAGAAGCCAAGGUAUACAAGGGAAGAAACACACAUCUAAAAUGCAAAUAUUGCAAUGGUGUUGGUCAUGAGGAAGACAAGUGUUGGGAACUUCAUCCUGAACUCAAGCCUAAGUUCAGCAAAGAUGGAAGGAUGAUACCAAGGUCCUCACAACAAUUUCAACCUCAUUUCAAGGCACAACUUGCUAAUGCUCACGCUCCUACUAUCUCACAAGGAUCCAUGGAGUUCACUGCCAAUCCAUUGUCAUUAAUCAAUGAAUUUGCAACUUACCUACAAAGUAAGGGGCACGGAGGAGGCUCACAUGGUCAAGGCAAUGAAAAGGGUAGUCACACAGCUAUGUUGGGACAAUUUGCCGGAUUUCUUGCUGGAAAUGAGAAAGUUCCAAAGGGAGAAGCAUCAGGUAUACUCAAAGCCUUUACUACUGCCCUAUUAACUAGUACUGAAAUUGAUUGUUGGAUAAUUGAUUCAGGCGCCACAGAUCAUAUGACAAACAAAGUUACAAAUUUACAUCAUUUUAAAAAAAUUUCAAGCCCCUCACAUGUGUCUGUUGCAAAUGGAAAAAAUGUCUUAGUUUUGGGAAAAGGAGAAAUAAAUUUACUCUCUCAAAACACACCUUCCACUGCCCUCUAUGUACCAACCUUUCCCUUCCAACUUUUGUCAAUUGGAAAGAUCACCAACACCCUAAACUGCCGUGCUAUUUUCUCACCAAAUAAAGUAAUGUUUCAGGAUGUUCUCACCAUGAAGAUGAUUGGUGAAGGGGUCUUCAUAAAUGGACUUUACUACCUGUGCAAGAAUGCAUGUUUCACUCAGGCUCUUCAAGCUCAAUCGAAGUCCAUAGAUGAAAACCAACUUUGGCACAGGAGAUUAGCUCACCCCUCUGAACUUGUCUUGUCGAAACUGUUUCCAAAUUUUUGUAACCCAUAUCCUACUUGUGAUACUUGUCAAUUUUCUAAGUUUACUAGGCUACCUUUUGGUAAUUCAAUGUCUAGGACAAGUAAACCUUUUGAAAUGGUACACACCGAUGUAUGGGGACCUGCAACUGAAUCAAUGGAAGGUUUUAAAUAUUUUGUUCUAUUUGUUGAUGAUUUCUCUCGAACAAGUUUUCUAUAUCUUAUGAAAUCAAAAAGUGAAGUCCCUACCAUUUUCAAAGACUUUCACAUGCAUGUUAAAACACAAUUUCAAUCAAACAUUAAGGUUUUAAGGUCAGAUAAUGGCACUGAAUUUCUAUCCAACAACAUGCUUCAAUACAUAAGUUCUCAGGGUAUCAUACAUCAAACCAGCUGUGUGGGGACUCCCCAACAAAAAUGGAGUAGCCGAGAGGAAAAAUAGAGAUCUCUUUGGAAAAAACUCGUGCUCUCAUGAUUCACAUGCACGUUCCAAAGAAAUUUUGGUCGUUUGCCAUCCUUACUGCCACUUAUCUCAUCAAUCGACUUCCAAGUCGUGUGCUAGGGUUUAAAUCUCCCUAUGAAGUUCUCAAGGGGAGGAAAAUAGAUUUGACACAUCUCAAGGUGUUUGGUUGUGUGUGUUUUUGUUCACAUCCAAACCUUGAACCGUGACAAAACUAGAUGCCAGGGCAACCAAGUGUGUGUUUAUGGGAUACUCGACCACUCAAAAGGGAUACAAGUGAUUCAAUCCAGUCACUAAGAAGUGCACAGUUUCAAGAGAUGUGAAGUUCGAAGAAGACUAUCCCUAUUUUACAAGUCAGGGGGAGGAUUUAGUUGACAUGUUCCCACUCCCUCAAAACUUUAAUUAUCCGAUGUUGGAAAAGAGAUCAGUCAUUGUAAGUCCAGAUUGUGAAGAAGUUCAAACUGACCAAAUUACUGCCAGUGAGAGUGAAGACGAGCUCUACUCUGAUCCUUCUCCGCCCUCUACAGAAUCUCAGGUGAUUAAAAGAAAUCCUCCUCGAAUCAGAAAACCUCCAGCUAGGUUGCAGGACUAUGUUACAUAUGCCUCACGACAUCCAAUCAAUGAAUGUAUCAGCUUUAGUAAGUUCUCAACAUCUCAUGCUGCAUUUCUCAGUGAAAUUGAUAAGCACUAUGAACCAAGAAGCUUUCAAGAAGCUUCUCUUCUCCCACAAUGGAACCAAGCCAUGAAAGAAGAGAUUCGUGCACUGGAAGAGAAUUGCACCUGGAGCCUAGUUCAACUACCACCAGGAAAAAAAGGCUGUUGGAAGUCGUUGGAUUUACAAGACUAAAUUCAAAGCUGAUGGAUCUAUCGAGAGACACAAGGCUAGACUUGUUGCUCGAGGUUUCACCCAAACCUUUGGUGUAGAUUAUAAGGAAACAUUCGCACCGGUGGCCAAGAUGAACUCAGUCAGGGUUUUACUGUCAGUUGCAAUCAAUUGUGGAUGGUCACUCUACCAAAUGGACGUGAAUAAUGCUUUCCUUCACGGCGAGCUGCAGGAAGAAGUGUAUAUGCAACCUCCUCCAGGCUAUGAUGGUAUUAAAGGCAACAUGGUUUGUAAAUUGCACAAGGCAAUAUACGGAUUGAAACAAUCACCAAGAGCUUGGUAUGCCAAGCUCAGUUCUGUUCUGGAAAAGGCUGGAUUCAUGCGAAGUAAUGCUGAUUCUUCGUUAUUUGUAAGAACUGGCAUCAGGGGGAAGUUGGUGGUCCUCGUCUAUGUUGAUGAUCUUAUCAUCACUGGAGAUAAUACCGUGGAGAUUGAGGCACUAAAACUCUCACUACAUCAAGCUUUCGCUAUCAAAGAUUUGGGGAGGUUAAAGUAUUUUUUGGGGAUCGAAAUGGCAACAUCUUCAAAAGGACUGUUUCUACAUCAACGAAAAUAUGUAUUGGACCUCCUUCAAGAAGCAAAAUGCUUGACUGCAAGCCUGCUAUCACUCCCGUUGAUUGUAAACUGAAGCUCAGCAUAGAUGGAGAAGCCAUGCAUGAUGUAAGCUACUAUCAACGAUUAGUAGGCAAGCUCAUAUACCUCACUAUCACUCGUCCAGAUAUCACAUAUGCAGUGAGCUUGGCUAGUCAGUUCAUGCACUCUCCCACUGUUGAUCACCUUAACUUUGUUAAGAGAAUCCUUCGUUAUCUUAAGGGUUCAAUUGGGCAAGGAAUUACAAUGCAUAACAAUCAAUCCACUGUCAUUAGUGGCUACACAGAUGCAGACUGGGCAGGUAAUGCAAUUGAUAGGAAAUCAAUCACAGGCUAUUGUACAUUUGUUGGUGGAAAUCUUGUCACAUGGAAGAGUAAGAAGCAACAGGUAAUUGCUCGUUCCAGCGCAGAGGCUGAGUAUCGAGCCAUGGCAGCCACUGCAUGUGAACUCAUUUGGCUUAAAGGGCUUCUUUCAGACUUAGGGUUUCCUAGUUCUACUCCUAUGAUGCUUAUGUGUGAUAAUCAGGCAGCCAUGCACAUUGCUGCCAAUCCUGUGUUCCAUGAAAGAACCAAACAUAUUGAAGUGGAUUGUCAUUUCAUCAGAGCUCAAGUUCAAACGCAAAUCAUCCGGACCAUGUUCACACGAAGCCAUGAUCAACUAGCAGAUCUUUUUACAAAGGCACUAGCAUCAUCUCAGUUUCAUCGGUUAUUGGGCAAGCUUGGCUCAGUGAAUCCCCUCGAUCCAGCUUGAGGGGGAGUGUUGGAAGAAUGCAUGCAAGUCAUAUCUUGUGUUAAAAUGCAUGCAUGAAAUAAACAUGUUGGAUGACUAGUGAAGUUAGGCUAGUCAACAUUCUUUGUGUAAAAUGCAUGCAUGAAAUAAACAUGUUGGAUGACUAGUGAAGUUAGGCUAGUCAACAUUCUUUGUGUAAAUUAGGCAAGUUAGAAAAUUAGGCAAGUUAGGCUUAUGUCUACUUUCUUUUCCUAUAUAUAUGUUUCAUUUGUAAUUGUUUCUUCAUGAAAUACACAUCAAAAAUUCUACAGGUUCAAAUUUACAAAGCUCUCAAUCGUUAAGAUGUCUGCAAGGCUUGCAAGCUAAUAUUUAUUAACUAAUCACAAACACAUUUGUAGCGAGUUGGAUAAGGUCUAGGUGCGUGGUUGACAAAAUGAGGGGUUCGAAUCCCUCUAUGCGCAAGAUUGAGACUUUUCAGCAUUUUUAAGUAUUUUUGGGUUUCAUCUCACGAUAUUAUUGAUACUGUGGGAUUAAUCUUCACCCUGUCCAUUUUUAAGAUUGAGACUUUUCCAUUUGUUCUAACGUUUAAAAUAAUCUAUGGAUAUUAACUUAAAAAGAAUAAAAAUUUUAUUUUUAUUGACUAAAAAAUUAAAAAUUAAAAAGUUUAUUCUCCCACCCCAAAACUUAAAUCACACAUUAUCCUUAAGGUGUGAGAAAAUAAAUAAAUAAACAAAAAGAACAUCUAAAGCUAACUGACUAUAAGAAAAACGACAUAUUAAAAAAAAACAAAUAUAAAAUAAAAGAAAACUCAAAACAAUCUAAAAAUUAAAAUAAGAAAUGUACACACAUGGGUUGGAAAUGGACUCCAGUUGGGAAACAAACGUGGGGCCUGGAAGAAACACAUACACGGCCUAUGGAAGAUCAAUUCGUGGUAAAACCCAACCCGCAAAACAACUGCCCAGCCCACGCGAACCCAUGUGCACGGCACAUGUGUAUCAAAACCCUAGCACCGGUAGGAAUAAAACAUUGGAUUCCUCGUUUACUAUUCUCGAACCAAGGGCCGAACCCUCCCUCUUUUAAUUCAAAACACUCAUGUCAGAACAAACAUGGGAAACACCAGUCUUGGACACGUGGCAAGCAUCAGUGCAAUGCAUCCUUAGGAUUCCAAAUGAAAGGUCAGAUCUCUCUCCCAUUUCUGAAACCAACCCUCUCGCACAUUAUUUCAAGGACAAACGAUUGUUGUCCUUAUUUCAAAAACCGAAAGAGCCUCUUCAUUUCUGUCAUCCAUCUUUCUCCAAUGGAGAACCAUAGCUGCUCCUCCAUCUCAGUUCAACAGCAAUGUGGCACCGUUCUCUCUCUCAACCUCGCACAACGUAGCCUUCAUCCGUGAGCUUCCUUGCCAUUUGUUCUAGUGCUCUCGAGUCUGUUCCUGGAGAUCAUCUCGUUAGAGCCUGGUUACAGAACCCCAAAUCCCAAAGGUAAGAAUCUUUCAUGGCUGCCAUUGCGUUCCACUGGGUUUGUUGGCAUUGAAAAAUCAAAGAUCUAACACAUGCAUGCACUGUUGUGUUUCGAGAGUGAACGGAUCUAUAACAAGAGAGAUGCACCAACACCCAAAAGUUCACAAAUCCAUGGUUGAUCGCGAUUUUGGGGUUAGGCGACGGCGGGAGAGAUGGCGAGGGUUGUUGCAUCUGUGUCACUCAAAGUGGAUUGCGAGAGAGUGACAGUGCUGCGUUAUAGGGUAUGAGAGUUGGUUUCGAGAAAGUGAGGGGGCCGGAGUUGGGUUAAGGCUUGGGCUGGGUUUACGGAAUGGGGGAGGAGGGUGUGGAAUGUCAUGGAGAGGAAGGGAGAGGGAGGUCUGCCAAAAAACGUGGGUUGCAGAGCUACAACGAGGGAGAUGGGCGUGGAUUGGCAGGGAGGGGAAGGGAGAGGGAGGAGUGAGGCUUGCCAAACAGAGUGUUGGAUUGAUUUUUUCCUCCUCAAAUCAAGGGUUGGAGUCGGGAUUGCGGGGUGGGUCCAAAAUGGGUAUGGUUGUGAGGGAAAGAGCGAUGGCAGAGACAGAGGUCGUGGAGUUGGGCGUGGGAAUUCCAAAAAUCAAGGGCUGCUGUCAGUGGUUGUUAAUAUCAGCAAUGAGCAUGAUUGGGAUGUGAGUUCUCUAAACCUUUUGAUUAAUUUUUUAUAUUUUGGCUUUUUAUAUAAGCUAUGUAAAUGUUUAAUUUCCAUUUGAAAACUUGAGGAAUUCUAGGUGUAUUGUUUAUGGAAGAAGCUAAGUCUCAAACCCCUCAAACGAUCUCCCGAUCUCUUCUCCCCCGCCUGCAGCGAACUCCCUCCUCCCGACCCCGAGAGGUACCGCCGUUGCCUUUACUUUCUGUAAUUUUUGAGGUUCGUGAAAUUAUUGAGUUGAAGCAACUUGGAAACAGAAGCAAUUUGGAAUUUGGUAACCAAAGAGUUGUAUUUGGAACAUAAGCAAUUUCGAAAGAUAUGCAAUCUGGCAACUAAAUAACAGCAAAAUUUAACUUUAAAAACUUUUUCUUUCGGUAAUGUCAGCAUCCUAUAAUGCCUAUGUUUGGUUUGUGAGAAAAUUAAAAAUUAACAUAAACAAUCCAAAACUUACUUUUCUUCAUUUUUCUUAAAUUUCUCAGGAAACAAACAGAACCCACGGCUCUAUUUUUUCCAAAAAAAAAUAACAGAAAGAAAAAUAACUCACCCCAUGCAUGUGAAAAAUGGCAGAACAUGUAUCAAGUACAACACAUGGAAACCAAAAAAUCAACUAUAAAUUAAAUAACCCAUCAACAAAGCGAUCAACUCUUUAAACACACAACAAAUAACAAAGAUUAAACAAUUGAGAAGCAGAAAAUGCAAGGAUUGAACCUGCAAUUAGGUUUGUUCAGAGUAGAAACUCUUGAAAAAUAACAAAUUGAACCUCUAUUUAUAGCCACGAGGCGGAACAGUGAAAAGUACAUCCAACAUUUAACAGUUAAAUGACAUAUCCAAUCAACUGGAACAAUAGCCUCCGAAUUGAAAAGCCCAUCCACCCUUUGUCACUCUGCAAAAUUCCCUUAACCCACUCUAAUUGAAACCCGACAGAACACCCCCUCCCUCCAAAGCGUGUAUUACACAAAUGCCCACAACUUGUGGCCGUUGUAUGCGGAAUCAAGCAGGGAAAGUGGUAAUUUUACUACACUCACUCCCAGCUCAAGGCUAAAUGCUAAAUAACUCAAAUUUGAAGCAUUAUUCCACACCAAACAUGAAUAGAUAAAGGGACUUGCAAUUUGAAGUGUACAAAAACUAUAUAAUUACUGUGAUUUGUGUCUGUCGCUGAGGGUCACACAAACCUCUACCUUAUCAUUAACUUCCCAACUUAUUCUCCCAUAAUGAGUAGAUUUAGAGAGUUUGUGAAAAUUAAGUUUAGAAUAAAAAAGUUUUAUAUAGCAUCGACCUUGGAAUUGGCUGAGAAACUCUUGAUAUAUUGGUAGGCUGUAUAUAGUAGAUCUCAUCAUAAUUUAUAAAUGAUUUUGCUUGGACCGUCUUUCCAUUCAGCACGACCUUCAUAAUUAUAAGGCAACCGGCCAUAUCAAUCACUCGUUUUUUCAUCAAUGCAACAAUGUUGCUAUCAAGAUUUUUCAUGUUGUAUCUAGAAAAUCUAGUUUGAAUGUUAUUUUCGUCUCAUACUUGUGAUUCAUAGGGUUUCUCGUCACUUUAGGGUUCUCUGUCGAUGCAUAGUCUUUAGAGAACAUCUGAAAUUUGUUAGAAUCAAAUUAUUUAACUCAUUAAAAAGAAAAAUAGUACCCAAGGACGUUAAGAUAAGAACAUGCAAGAACCAAAUUCAUCUUAGCCACAUGAUUAUAUUAAAUCAAAUCAAACGGAUUAAAAUAUUUGCCAAAUUCGUCCUCACAGGAUCUUAAUUUGAGGUCAUUAGGUGAUAUUCAUGUUAAAACAAUUACCGUUUCAUUAAGCUCCUUGCCACUGACAUUGUGAACUCAUUGCAAAAACAAUUAAAUUUUGCUCCACCGACAUAGAUACUUCUAUUGUUACCACGGACGAAGUUCUUGCCGCUAAUAGUAAUUAAACUACCAUCCUCCUGUAUUUGAACUUUCAGUUUGCUGAGUGUCUUGGAUGCGACACUCACAAAGAUGUCGUGAAACAUCCAGUAGAGGUCGGGAGCACACGUGACAAGACGAUUGAUCAUCUCCUUCUUGUCGUAAACUUAUAAAGUUUGUGUCAGGUGGUUAGCCAAACCAUAGUUCCUUUUGUCUGUUCGUCGUUUGUUGUGUAAUCUGUGAAGGAAAUUGUAAGCGCGUAUUUGUGCUAGUGCGGUUGUUAUGGAUUCUUUGAGUUUGAUCUCUUUCUCCUGUUUGUGUAAAUAGUCAAGCUACUACCUAGCUAUCACAUUUCUUUCAUAAGCUAAAAGCUUAUUAGAAAACUGUCACAUGCUAAUCAAUACACACAUAUUACUUAAGGGGAGGGAUUCCUAUUUAAUAGGGACACGCUCCCCAUCGUUGGAUUUAACUUUAAUGAAAUUGUGUGGUUGAGAUUAAAACAUAGGUCACACAAUUUCAUUAAAAUUAAAUCCAACGGUGGGGAGCGUGUCCUCAUUUAAAAAAGAAUGAGGAUCCCUCCCCUUAAACAAUAUAUAUAUGUAUGUGUGUGUGGUCUAGUAACGCAAGAUGUGCAAUUUGAGCCUAUGUAAACAGGGAUCACAUGAUGCCAAACAAGCUUUUAGCUUAUGAAAGAAAUGUGGUAGCUAGGUAGUGGCUUGACUAUUUACACAUAAACGAGAGAGAUUAAACUCAAAGUAUUCAUAACAAUCGCACAAAUAUGCUCUUACGAUUUCCUGAAUAGAUUACACAACAAACGGCGAAAACAGAUAAGAGGAACUACAAGUUGGCUAAUCACUUGACCCAAACUUUAUGGGUUUAUGACAAGAAGGAGAUGAUAAAUCAUUUUGUCACGUAUGCUUCCGGUCUCUAUUGGAUGUUUCACGACAUCUUUUUGAGUGUUUCGUCCAAGACAUUCGGCAAACUGAAAAUUCAAAUACAGGAGGGUGGUAGCUUAAUUACUAUUAGCGGCAAGAACUUCGUCUGUGGUAACAACACAAGUAUCCAUGUCGAUGGAACAAAGUUUCAUUGUUUUUGCAAUGAGUUCACAAUGUCAGUGGCAAGGAGCUUCAUGAAACGGUAAUUGUUUUGACAUGAAUAUCACCUAAUGAUCUCAAAUUAAGAUCGUGUGAGGACGAAUUUGGCAAAUAUUUUAAUCCGUUUGAUUUGAUUUAAUAUAAUCAUGUGGCUAAGAUGAAUUUGGUUCUUGCAUGUCCUUAUCUUAACGUCCUUAGGUACUGUUUAUCUUUUUAAUGAGCUAAAUAGUUUGAUUCUUAACAAAUUUCAGGUGUUCUCUAAAGACUAUGCAUUGACAGAACCUUAAAGUGACGAGAAACCUUACAUGGAUCACAACAAUAACAUUCAGACUAGAUUGUUGUAGAUAUAACAUGAAAAAUCUUGAUAGCAACAUUGUUGCAUUGAUGAAAAAACAAGUGAUUGAUAUGGCCGGUUGCCUUAGAACUAUGACGGUCGUGCUAAAUGGAAAGGCGGUACAUGCAAAAUCAUUUAUAAAUUAUAUUGAUCUCUACUACAUACAAUCUACCAGUAUAUCAAGAGAUUCUCAGCCACUUCCAAUGUUGAUGCUAUAUGAAACUUUUUUAUUAUGAACUUGGUUUUCAUGAACUUUUUGUAAAUCCACUCAUGGUGACUGAAUAAGUUGGGAAGUUAAUGAUAAGGUGGAGGUUUGUGUGAUCCUCAGCAACCGACACAAAUCCCAUUAAUUAUAAAACUUUUGUACACAUGAAAUUGCAAGUCCCUUUAUCUAUUAUCUUUGGUGUGGAAUAAUGCUUCAAUUUUUGUCAUUUAGCCUUGAGCUGGGAGUGAGUAGUAAAAUUACUAUUUUGUAAUACGCGCUUUGGAGGGAGGGGGUGUUUCAAUCAGGGUGGGAUGAGGGAAUUUUAGAACCGUCAAUAAGAGUGAGUAGUAAAAUUACCCUUCCCCUGUUAAACCAUCAAUAACUGUUUACAGUGAUACUCUAAUAAAAACACAUUUAGAAUAAAUGAGAAGAACACAUGCAUAAUCUUUUUUUUUUAUAAAAAAAAAAACUAAUGAAAUGGGCGUUAGAUAUUAUUCCUGCUGGUUCAUGGAAGCAUUGAAAUUGUACUAACCUGCUUAAUCUUUUAUUUUUUUUAAUUAAUGUUAUGGGCGUCGUUAGUUGCUCUUAAAAAUAUUUUGUAGCUCAAACUGAUUACCCUAUAUUCUAAGGAAGUCUCGUUAUAUAUAAACGUAUUAGAUGAAGCUUAUACAUUGUGUCUUUAAAUUUGAAAAGAAAGAAAAUAUAAUAUGGAAAAGAGAGAAGUUUGAGAUAAAUGUGAGUUUUUAUUUAAAUUAGAGAUAUUAUAAUGACAUAUGGGUUAGGUUUGAAAUAAAAAAAUGCAAAAUGAUUUGUGCAUAAUUACAUUAUUGUUCAUAAUUUUAUUUUAUAAUAUAAAACCAAAUUGUCUUUUCACUUUUUUUAGAGUGUUUUGUUAAAAACAACCCAAAGUGACCACAAAAUACAUAUUAGAUGAGAACGUGUACACUAGCCAAGCUACUACCUACCACCUUUAUUUCAUAAAAGCUCAACAGAAAAAUUAUCACAUGCUACAUGAACAUUACAAGAGUAGGUGUUGUGCUAAUGGGGAAUCAUGCAUGCCUAUGUGAUUAAUGAUGAUGAUUUGCGUCUCAAUCUCUUGUGACAUUGGAAGACCCCAUCCAAACAUAGCAUAAAGUAAGUUAUAUACUUGGUCCAAUCCAAUGUACAUAAGUUUUGCUAUAUAUGAUAUGUUUUGGCCAAUUAGUCACGCAUGCCAGUACACUGUCACACAGACUAGCUGAAUACAACCGACUAAAUGACUAGGUUAGGAUGACCAAUUGAUCGCCUACUAGCAUCACUUAUCUACAAUUACUAAUACUAAUUGAGGAAAUAUUUCGUGUCAUGCGUAAAGGCUAUUAAUGGUAUUACUUAGUGAGAUAUUCAUUAAAGAUCAUCUCCACACACAAUAAAAAUAAUCAAGUCUUAUCUUACUAAAUGUGAUCUAUUAUAUGAAUUUUAGAACGUAAUUACGUUCGGUUUUGUGUCAAAUCUUCCGUCAGCUAGUCUAUAUCUUUCUUAUUGUCUUUGCAAGUCUUUCUAGAUCUUUCUCUAAUAUUUUUGCCAUGAACCUUCGUCUUAUAGUCGCAUCUUUUAAUCGGAGUAUCUGUAAGUCUUCAUGUGUCCAAAUUACCUUAACUGAUUUUCUCUCAUUUUAUCUUCAAUUGCAGUCACCUUCUACUUUACCCUGUAUAUACUUUAUAUGAUAAGAAUUAUCUAUAUGCACCCAUUAAUUUGCUAUUAGUUAUCAUAAUGGUAUUCGAGUCACUUACGAGCCAAGAAUAUGAUAAGAAUUAUCUAUAUGCACCCAUUAAUUUCAUCAUUUAUUACGUAUUUCGUAAUUUAAAUUCGUAUUUGCAAUUAUGUUGUCUUUAUUAGUUAAUUUUAAUUCUACUAAUUAUAAGUUUAGAAAUUGAUUAGUUAUCGAGAUGGAAGUUUCAUAAUCAAUUUUUAUCUUUCGUUGACAUUUCGAAGUUACAACUAGUGUUUUUAAAUAGAUCUUGAACCCAUGAACGCAUAGGCGAAAGCCGUUUGCGAGUUCGAAUUAUAACGGUAUAAUUACGGAUAUUUGAAGUUGUGAACUAUAGUUUGUGGGAAGCAUGGGUUAAAGGUUAAGUUAGUAAAGAAAAAAUAAUAAUAAAAUAAAAUGGAAGAGGGAACCUGCCAGAUUUUUAUUAAAAGGACAUGAAAGGGAACUAUUGGGAAAAAAAAAAGGAAAGGGAACUAUUGGGUAAAAAAAAAAGGAACGGCACAUAUCUCCCCCCCCCCCCCCCAAAUAUUUCAUGAAACCGUGAGUCCUCUAGCGAAAAACUGGCCAAUUCAGUCCAAUGCCUCCAUUUUUCCACCUCCUUCUCCUGCAACUUGCUCAAUUACCUUCCUUAUUCCCUCUCUACCAAAAAUUAAGGGUUUUUAAGGUUUAUUUCAUGUAGAACUCCAUAGGAGAACUCGGGGGUUCUCAACAACAAAUUGUUAUUUCGGAGAGUAUCAUCAUUCACCAUCACCCUAAAUCCACUUCCCUUGGACCCAAGAACAAGACCCAACUGGUGCUUGGGGCGUUGGAACACAAAUGAAGCCAAAUCGAAAAACACCCACCUUUGGUUUCGUUGGGUGCGAGCCAAUUUGAGGGCCUUCUUAGCCAAAUUGGACCCAGCCACAUGUAUAAAGUUUACUCUACUUGUUGAAAUCUUCAUUCUUGUAAAGUUUGAGAAUUUUUGGAAGAAAAAAAAAUUGAAUUUUCCGUUUUGUGACAUUCGAAUUAUGAAAAUGUUGUUGAGUGUAUAUUUUGUCAAUAAGGCUGCCACUUGAUUAGAGAAUAAUUGACAAUCUUAUCAUUGAAUUGAGGCAAGAUUUUAAUAGGCUAUUGUAGAUAUUGUUUAAUGACCUUAGGGAUUUAUAAGUGAAAAUCUAGUUAUUUGAUUUUACGAAGCAAUUGACGUAAGAUCAUGGACUCUACAUUAGAAUGACGGUUCAAUUCCUCAUUAAAUGUUGUGGGAGACAUAUGAGAAUGUUUGAGUUUGUGAUUUAUCGAAGGAAAUCUAAAUGAGGACUUGUGUUUUGUUAGGCGGUGACAAGAACGUGAUGCAUUGACUAUCGUGCUAGGGUACAUUAGCACGGACUAUAGGUGAGUGGUUAUAAUAUAUGUGAUAUUGUUAUUUACUAUGUUGUCAUAAUUAUGAUCCUGUGUGGAUAUGAAUUGGUUUUAUGAAUAUGUUCUAUUGAAUUGUUAUUCCAAUACUUCGACCUCAAAAGUAUGUUUAUGAAAUAGGGUGUGGCAUGUAUAUUAGAAUUGUGGUUUGAUUUGUAUGAUUGGCAUGUUGAGAUUAAUGUGAGGACUAGUAAUGACCGCUAAUCAUUAUGAUGGGAAUUCAUUACUUUGAUAUGGUUUCAUCUUCCGCUUCGGUGAUCGGUUCUAAAUUUAGUAAUGAUGCAUAAUCUUCUUUUGUUGAGUUUUGUAAAUUAAGUAGCAUGUGCUUGUCUCAUUUCUUUGAGCUGAUAUACUUUCUGAUUGUUGGUCUUCUACGAUUACGUUGAGUAAUUGUCCGAAAUCGUAUCCACUCGAAUUUCGUUGAGUAAUGGUCUGAAAUCCUUUUUAUUCUGUGAUUCCAUUGAGUGAUGUUUUAGAAUCGUAUCUAACUUGGGUUUCAUGUAGUUGUUAUGUUGAGUGAGGGUCCGGAAUCCCUCUUAUUUCAUGAUUCCGUUGAGUGAAGGUUCGGAAUCUUACUCACCUUAGAAUUUAUUGAAUUUGAAUAGAGAUGGAUUCAAAGCUUUAGACUUAGGCCAAAAUGUGUUGCUUAAACUUACUUUGCAUUGUGUUGUAUGGGAAGAUGGUUAUGAGAUGUUAUGAUUGGUGGCAGACGAACCGUUGGAUGUCUGGGUGACUCCUUCGGGGUUUACAAAAGUUAGUAUUGAUUUCUUAUGAAUGAUUUAUAUUUAAGAUAUGUAAACUGUGUUUGAUGGUUGGCAUUAGCAUUAUUAUCACAUACUUGAUAUUAUUGUAACUCUCCUAAGCUUCGCAACUUAUAUAGGUUGUUGUUUGCCUGGUGCACCAUUACGAUGGUGUAGGCACUGAGCGUACAGGUGACAGGUUUGAGUAGACUCCGAGAAGUGUGUAGGUGGGGUAGCAGUGCAGUUAUCAGAGACUUGGAGCGUUAGGUUACCCUUAUUCUACUCUUGUACUUUAUCUUUUGGGACUUUCUUUUGACCACCUCAUACUUGUUCUUAGUAAAGCUCAGAUUAUGCUUUUUUUUUUUUUGAUGUACAUAUUUGUAAAUAUUUUGCGGAGAACUUAGCCACCUUCGCAUUAUUUUAGGUUAUCAGUUAAAGUAUUUCAUUAUGUAGCUUAUACCGUAUUCAAAGAACAUUAUUUUCCUUGUCAUGUGUCGAUUUCAACGUAUGUUGGGAUCGGGACGUGACAACAAAAAACAUUGUCACACUCAUCUCUAAUUAUAUUGGAAGGUGGAAUUUAAAGUCACUCACACUCAUAAAUAUGCACAAAUUGACAUAUUUAUGUUUAUUUUGAUUAAUUAAUAAAUAUCAACCAAUCGUUUCUUGUAAGAAAAGAAAGAAAGAUACCUACCAAAUUUCAAAAAAAUCAAAGUGAUGUAACCGUAUUAUAAUGGCUAGGAUAGGCUUUAGUAGGCUAGCUAGUCAGUCAUGCGGUUAUUGCAAUGAUGUGCUAGCUUGUGGGCUCGUUUUGGAUAUUUUAUGAAUAUCUCUUUUGACAAGAAGAAACGUAUGCUAGCUAGUAAAUUAUGCGGUUAUGCAAUGAUGCGAGAAUGCAAAUGCUUCCCUUCGUUCAUUAAAAAUGCUAAGGAGAAUCUUUUGAAUGAGAUUCUCUCUGCUGUGUAAUAACUUAACGUCAAUUUCUGUAUCAAUAUUAUAAAAUAUUGUAUAAAAAUAUAAGAUGACAAAGAAGAAUUGAUGUGCUUAUUUUUAAAACAGUUUUUGUUGUACAUUAAAAAAAACAUUGCUGGACAAUUAACAUGAUUCCUGCUAAAGCCAAUGUAGUUGCUCUUGGUUUGACUCUUCCCCCCGCCCCCAACCUUUUUUUUUCCUCUACAGAAUUGUUCAUUUUGAAAAGUAUAUCCUUCUAAUUGGAGUAUGAUUCUCUUCCCUCAUAAUCUCUCUUCCCUUCCAUCCCCUUCUAUUUAAACGGUUACGAUUACGCCACGUUUACAUCUUGUUUUGAAUUUUUUUACAUAGAGAAUAAGACAAAAAAAAAAGAGUGAGAGGAGGGGAUGGAAGAUGAUGGAAAUAGAAGUGGAGAUAAUCCUACUCGAGGAGUGCCCUCUCUUACUAGUCUCCUUCAUUCCAUAUUUUGUAGAAAAAUUACUCACUCGUUAAUACCAAGAACCCAUUAAAUAAUUUGCCAAAAAUUAAAACUAAAACUGAUGCAUACAUGAUGCUGAUGAGAUAGAAAGAUUAAAGAGCAUCCAUGACUUUAGAAAUGGUGAGAGAAUUAACUUUUUGUCUACAAAGAGUAAUGAACGGAAGAAACUUGAACGAUAUCGGCGCCUAUGAAGAAUAUUUUUAGAAAAGAGUAUUCUAGUCCUUUACAUGAGUAUUUUUAAUAUUGAAUAAUACUUUUAGAAAAGAAAACAAAUUACAGGUGUCAAACCAAGGAUCAACCACACUUAACUUUUUAGCAUGAAUUGCUGCUAAUUGUUCAGCAACUAAGUUUUUCUUUUAAGAAUAAUUAGUUACAAAAUAAAGUAAUAAACUGUAUUUCUGAAACUAUUGUAAGUAUGAAAAACAGGAUAAAGGCUUUUAGUAAAUAUUAAUAUAAAAAUGCUAUAACUCUGUAAAAUGACAAAAAUAGGUAUGUAAAAAAUAUUUUUCUAUUUAACAUUUUGUUAAAAAGAUGACUUUCAACUGUAUCUAAUCAUUUUCCUUCAAAUUAUUGUAACAUUUGUAGUUUGCAUUCACAAAAGUCCUUUAAAGAAAACAAAUAUAAACUAAUAAUUUUUUUUCUCAAUGUCUUUAAACAACAAUAACAUAUAAUAAGCAUAUACAAAAAAAAAAAAAAUUAAGAACACAUUACAACAAUGUUCAAUGUCUCUAUUUCUUGUGCUUUAGUGGGUAAAACAUAAGGGGUAUUCUAGGCCUAUAAAUAUUUAUCAAACAUAUUUUAGUGCUUCUCUUUGAAUUGUUGAAUACAUAGAUACUUUUAUACUAAGAGGAGGGGAAGUUCGGCUAAGUCAUACAAUGGACAACCUAAUUUGAUAUCGAAUUCGCCAUCCACGAGAUUCAAACCUAAGAUCUCUCACUUCCAAGUGAAGAAGAAUACCACCAGACCGUAGUACUGAAUGACUUCUCUUUAAAUUGAAGCAGCUUUUUAAUGGAGAAAAAUAAUACCAAACAGAGUCUUAGGUAUGCGACUUUUAUGAUUCAAGCAAACAUCGGUUUGGAGUUCACGGAUAAAUUGUCUCCAUACAGUAUUAAUCCAUUUCUAAAAAGCAAUGUAUAUGUCUAUCACGCGACACAUUAAAAUUACUAUGUAAAGCACAAUAAAUAUUUGAUGUACAUGAGAGAUGGCACUUAAUUAUUCGAUUUAUUGUCUCAUUCUUUUCAAAUGUACCGUAGCUUAGGUGUACAAGUUGAAAUUCCGAUUUUAGAAGUAAAAUUUUUGCAUGCGAAUCCGAAAUUUCAAAUUCGGAUAUUUUUUUUAAAAAUAAAAUGCAUACAAGAAUUAUGAUGGUUCUAAUCCAAAUUUUUCCAUAAGUGUUCCAAACUCACGGCUGUUUGUACCAUGAAAACAAAUUGUGUCGAAUUAAGAUUUGUUCAAACUCAAAAUGUUGAGAAACAAGCUCUGCGAAUUUACAGACCCGCUCGAUAACUAUUUUGUUUUUAAAUUUUAAACCAUUAUUCAGUUAGAAACAGAGGAAAAUGUUGGGGAGAUGAGGAAACCAUAGCCAAUUUAUUGCCUUUUGCGAUCAAAAUUGCAAACAUAAUGAAAGAAUCAACCUCUCAACCUCUAGUCAACAGAUUCACACAAUAUAAAACGUAGGCAUAGAAUACAUCAAAACACAAGGAGACCAGACCAGAAAUGCUACAAUAAUUUGUCAACGAACAACCCUCCCGAACCUCAGGCACCAACAAAAACGACCCUCACAAACAGCAAUCGCCUACACUCCUCUCUGACUCAAAAUUGCUUUAAUAAUUAACACUUGCAUGUACACAUCUUACCAAAAGGAGUAUACCAUCAAAUCGCAAUGAUGACUUCUACGCUUUGCAUAACCAAUUGCAAUGAUGACUUCCACGCUUUGUAAAACCAACCGAGGGGAACCAUCUUGAGGAAAAGAAUUGGUGACACAAUUACCACACGAGAGGAUCUGUGUAUCCGAAAGCAGAAAUAUGCACAAUCCAAGCCACAAUACUUAUGAGGAGAGGAUAGAUUGCAGUGCAAGCUGUUGCUGAGGUUGCAAGGAGGACCACGUUGAGGCCAAUGUAGCUGGCGGCAAAGUCUGCUGAAGC
rnacentral:lncRNA from 1 species